rnacentral:lncRNA from 1 species
GGCGUUCUCGCAGUGUGCGAACAACUGCUACACAGUUUGCACCGCCGGGACCAUCGCGCCUUGCGCUUGAAGAUGCAUUUGUGUUCCUACUUCCACAUUAUUGUUACUGGUGAGUGUGUGCAAGCAGGCCUGCCGUCCACGGGAGGAGGCACGCAAGCACGCAUGAUAAGCCACUGUCGUUUUUCCACUUUAUCAUUUACUUAUUGAAGGCAAUGUACGAUGCCUAGCUCCUGUGUGGUUGAGCAUGUCGUCUUGGAAUUUUGUCCAAAGUUUAACAUACCAUGUUGUAUUGUUGUGUAUGCGUAUCAAUAUAAUUUAUCAACUAUUUUUCGUUUACCAUAGACAUUUCUAGUUUAUUUGCAAGGGUUAGGGAAAUUUGUCCUUGAUAGUGUAUUAACCGCAUCUGCCAACUGAACAGAUCAACUUUCUCAACAGCCUAUCUCCUACUUGAAAAAUAUUCGCUUUAGAAAAGGUUUGUUUCUUUUCUGUGUAGCUGUAGCCACCGUGAGGGUUACAAAACUCGGCGCAAGGGUUCCAAGCUGUGGCACCACAAACCACAUAAGCUGUGGCACAAGGGUUCUAGCUGGGUGGUCACAAACAACUAUUUCAUCCCGGAUGUCUUCCAUGCCCAUGGACCUCACUACGGGAAACAGAACCUUUGCCGAGUGCCCCAGGCACUCGGCAAAGGCAUAAAAACACUCGGCAAAGCCUUUGCCGAGUGUAACACUCGGCAAAGAGCACACGGCAAAUGUUGUGUCGGCAAAGCAUAGUUCGCCGAGUGUCAAAACUCGGACACUCGGCAAACUUGUCACCGACGGCCAAAAAACACUCGGCGAAAAGAUGUACUCGGCGAAUUGCGGACUGACGGCGUCGGGUAACGGCGGGUUUGCCGAGUGCCAAACGGGAGGCACUCGGCAAACACCGGGUCUUUGCUGAGUGCCAACACUCGGCAAAGACCAGGAGUUUGCCGAGUGCCACGCGCCUGGCACUCAGCAAACACGGUCCCUUUGCCGAGUGCCGGCUCCCGGGCACUCGGCAAAGCCGGCUCCCUUUGCCAAGUGCCCUGACAUUAGCACUCGGCAAACCGGCCCCCUUUGCCGAGUGCCUUGACCAGAGCACUCGGCAAAGGACCUUUCCUACACCUGGGAAAUGCCCCUUUGCCGAGUGCUAUGGUCAAUGCACUCGGCAAAGGACCCUCUUUGCCGAGUGUUACACUCGGCAAAGUGACCAGAACCGCCCUUUUUUCGAUAUUUUGCCAUGUAUAACGGACCCCUCUCAAUUCACAAUACACAUAUCACAGGCAUUUGUAAUAAACAACCACAUGGAUAAUUCACAACCACAGGCAUAAUUCAUAAACACCACAGGCAUAGUUCAACAUAAGCACGAAAUAAUCCAUAAAACCAAGUUCUUCUCACAAUUUAGUUUCCACAUUGUUCACAAUCAAGUCUACUUCCGUGGAGGCCAAGGAGACCACUGCGACAAAUCUUGAUCUUCAUUAUUCAAAGCCGCCGAUUGAUUCUGCACAUAGGAUAGGACAUUCUGAGGUAACAUCUAAAGUUGUCAAAUUUAAACUAUUGAAACUUAAGCACAAUGUGUCAAGUGACUCACAGGAGUAGUCGUGGGUGGCUGAGGCGGAGGGAACAUCAUCGGCGGUGGCGGAGGCAAAGACUGUCCCAUGCUCGUAGCAAAGUUCUGCAUGUACUGGAACAUCUGCUCCAUCCUAAUCCGGUUUUCCUCCUCCAUCCUCCGCCGCAUUUCCUCCAUCUGCGACUUAAUCUCCUCUUGUGCCUUCCUUGAUUCUUCCACCUGGGCCUACAAUAUUUCAUUGCAAUGUUAUAAUGCAAAGCUAAAGUAUAACAACAAACGAACGAUGAAUGGAAGAGAAAGAACCUGUAGAGCCUCCAUCUGGAACUGUGCAGCGGUGGGUCGUGGGCGUACCGCCGGGCUCGAGUCCGUGCUCCUAGCUCGGAUCUGGGAGAGAGUGGGAGUAGAGGCCGUGUCGAUGACGCCGUCGCCAAUCCAAUAACGGCCAUGCUUCUUGCCUCCUCCCACCCUCAUCACGAUUUCUCCAUCAAUGUCCUCGGAGCUCGGAUCGAAGUCUGGCCCGUGAACUUCCCUAGCCACCUUUGUAUACUUGCUGACGCGGCUGUAUAUGCUAGGGUGGCUGUACGCCUCCGACGGGUCGUCUGGGUUGAAAUCUAUAUCGGACGUCGCCUUGCCCUUUUUGGAGAGGACCCAUGCCUUGAGCUGGGAGCAAGGUCGGCCAUCAUGUGACGCCGACUGCGGCAAAAAACAAAAUCAUUAAAAAUUACAUAGAACUGAACGUUACAAUAAAGAAUUGAAGUUGCGUACCCAUUUUUCUCUAUAUUCAUCAAGGCUUAGGCUACCUUGAUGGUGUGAUGCAGUCGGCAUCUGCAAACGCCGCUGCCGGCAAGAAAGGUGGGUCUCCAACCACCCGGGCUCCAACCACACGUCGACCAUCCUCUCCCAGCACGGCAUAUGCGCACGACACCACCACGGAGGCACCUACAUCAUCAAGCGUGUGACGUAUGAAAAAGAAAAUGAGCCUAAUUAAUCAUAAAUAGUAAGCAUCAACAUUCUAUACUUACCCUCAUGAAUUGAUCCUUAGUCAUGUUCAUUGUUCUUGCCUCCUCUUUUCUAACCUUCGUACGAUUGUAUUGAGCGUUGAAUUCUAUGAUGGCCUGGAUGCGCGCCUCGUAAUGCAUGUCCCUCACGAGCUUCUUGGCGGCUACAUCACAGAUGGCCUUCGCCUUGGCCUCGAACCCCUCCUGGCAUCUAUAGAAGUCUUGCAUAUACACGCGUAAACAGUUAUUAUUUCAAGAAUGUCGAAAGUAGCUGAUGUAUUGAGCAAUUUAGUACGAGGAGUACUUACCCACAGCUCGGCCUUGACCCGCUCCGCUAUGUUGGGGAAUCUUCUCUGUUGACGAUCAGGGACGUCGGGGGCAGCGACGUAGUGGUCCCACGUGUAGGCCGGCUGCAGCUGUCCGGCGUACACCACCAAGCCAGGGAAGUGAACCCUGCACAAAAGGCCAAGGAUCCCGUUGGCCUUACGGUUGUGGUCACCCCCGCUGAGCUUAACUCAACUCCUGCACAAGUAAUUAAUAUGAAUUAUUAGUUUUUGUAACUUACAACAUAAGAACAAUUUUAAGAAUAUUUAAAGUUACUUACUUGGUCCCAACCGGUUUAAUGAGCGAGCGUAAAUGCUCAGGUAUCGGCCGCUUCGGGAGGGAUGAGGGACCUCGCAACCAUAUCUUGGCCUGGGUAUCCCCUGCCUCCCCGUCCCCCUCCUGCUCCUGCUGCUCCUGCUCCUCCUCCUCCGCCUCCUCGUCCCCAGAGGAGUGUGCGGAAGGUACCUCCUCCUCCUCCUCCUCCUCCUCCUCCUCGUCCUCCUCCACCUCAGGUUCAGGCGACGGGGGCCUCGCCGCUUUACCCUUCCCUCGAGGCCUCUGGACCACCUCCUGCUCCUCCUCCUCCUCCUCCUCCUCAACCCUACGUCGAGGCCUGCCUCGACGCCUCCCUCGACCGCUCCCUGAACGUGACCCUGACCCUGAACGAGUCCCUGCCGCGGCCAGUCUCUCGCAAAUUGACAUGAGCUUCCUGAUACCGCCCACCAUUGCUUAAUGACCUGCAAUUAAAAAGAGUACACGAGUCAGCAUAGGCAAACAAAACAUAAUUACAAAUAUAUACAAAUUAUAAUUAAAUUAUAGCUAAAUUAUUACGAAUCAUACAUGUAUUAGAAAUAAUCAUCAUGAUCGGGAUUAGCUGGAUCAUAAGUCUCAUCAUCACUAUCACGCGUGUCGAUAUAGUCAAGCUCGUGCUCCAAAGAAGGAAUGUCGUCAUCACUGUCAUUAUCUAACUGUAAUCGUUGAAGUAAUUCUAAGUCCUUCACAUUCUGAACCUUGUCUCCACCGUCCUCUACAGCAACCCUCUCGUUGUCUACUUCCAUUCCGAUCGCUUCGGUUAAAUCUAUCACAAAACUCCCUUCGAGCCCAUCUUCUUGGAAUAACUCUCCUUCGUACGUGUCGGGGUCUAUAUUGUAAUCUUCAUUGUUUGGUACAGGUAGUUUACCGUGUGGCGAUACCUUGUACACAACAUCCCAACCCUUAAGACGGCUGUCGGUUUGGCACGGGUAUGACAAAUAAUAAACUUGCGUGGCCUAUUGAGCCACAAUAUAGACAUCGUCUCCUGGUAACUUCGAGCCCAUUCGUGCUUCAUACGGGAGGUGUAGAAUCAUAUGCUGCAUUGGAUUGAAGAAGCCUGGAGGAAAGAUCUUCUCCAACUUACAGAGCAACACAGGCGCCAUUGUUUCCAUUUCUGCAACCACGGUACGAGAUAACUCCUUCGCACAAAGCCGGCGGAAGAAAUUGCUCAACUCCGCUAGCACCUGCCACACAUGCUCAGGGACAUAGCCUCGAACCAUCACCGGAAGGAGGCGCUCAAGCCAUAUAUGGUAAUCAUGACUCUUGAGCCCGUUGAUUCGCAUAGUUGCUAAAUUCACUCCCCUCUUCAAGUUCGCUGCAUAGCCAUCAGGGAACAUUAAAGUUUGGAACCAUUCUAGAACCUCCCUCCUUUGGGCCCUCGUCAGAAUGAAAUCGGCCUUAGGCUUCCUCCACGACUUGCCAGCUCUUGGAGGCGCCAUGUUUAGCUGUGGUCUGUUGCACAAUGUCGCUUGAUCCACUCUAGCCUUAACGUUAUCCUUUGUCUUGUCAGGAAUGUCCAUUAUUGUACCAAAAAUUGCCUCGGCGAUAUUUUUUUCCGUGUGCAUUACAUCAAUGUUAUGUGGAACAAGGAGAUCCUCAAAAUAUGGAAGCUUCCACAAGCACGACUUCUGCGUCCAAGCAUGUUGCUCGCCAUAUCCCAAAAAACCACCUUCUUCAUUAUUGAACUCAAGAGCGUCUAACUGAGCACGAACUGCGGCCCCUGUCAUCAUCGGCGGUGCGGGGGCUGUAACUACAACAUCUUUGGUAAAGUUCUUCAUGUCUCGUCUAAAUGGAUGGUCAGGAGGGAGGAAUUGUCGAUGUUUGUCGAACGAGGAAUAUUUGCCCCCUUUCGACAACCAAAUGAACUUCAAAGAUGCUUUACAUACUGGGCAUGGGAACUUCCCGUGAACACACCAUCCGGAGAAAAUCCCAUAUGCUGGCAAGUCAUGCAGUGAGUACUGGUACCAAACAUGCAUCUUGAAGUUUGUCUUUGUGGAUCGGUCAUAGGUCCAUACCCCUUCCUCCCAAGCACGGAGCAAAUCAUCAAUCAAAGGCUCCAUAUACACACUCAUAUUAUUCCCCGGAUGCUCUGGAAUUAUCAACGACAAGAAUAUAUUAUGUCGUUGAAAUAGGACGCCGGGUGGGAGAUUCAGUGGGAUAACGAAAAUGGGCCAACAGGUGUACGGGGCGGCCACCAUUCCAUAGGGAUUGAACCCAUCAGUUGCCAACGCAACGCGUACGUUACGGGCUCUAGAGCUUUUGCAGGAUAAAUCGCAUCAAAGCUUCUCCAGGCUUCAACAUCGGAUGGGUGUACCAGCUUCUCUGGAUUAUAGCGACGGCCAUUUUUGUGCCAUGUCAUCUGUUUCGCGGAUUCUUCAGUCAUGAAAAGCCGUUGGAUCCUCGGUAUGAAAGGAAGAUACCGUAGAACCUUCACAGGAAUUGCGAGCUGCUUUUUCUGACCGUCACCAUAGUCAACCUCCAGAAAUCUAGACGAUUCACACUUCACACAGUAUUUUGCUUCCGCAUACUCUUUCCUAAAUAAGAUGCAUCCCUUCGGGCAAGCAUGUAUAUGCUCGUAUGGCAUCUUAAGUGCACGAAGGAGUUUCUGUGCCUCAUACAUGCUCUUUGGCAAGAUGUGACCAACCGGGAGCAGGCUUCCAAAAACUGUCAACAUAAUAUCAAACGCGUCUCGACUCAAACUAAACUGAGACUUCACAGCCAUUAGGCGUGCAAUGGCAUCUAGCUGAGAAACCUUGGUAUGGCCGUGAAGGGGAUGCUGUGCCGCAGACAACAUUUCGUAAUAAGCCUUAGCGGUAGCCUCUGGCUCCUCCUCCCUACGUGCCUCUUCGAAGUGUGCUUCAUGAAAGUCAUUUAACAUGUCUCCCACCCCGGCAUCAUCAUCAAAUUCCUCGAUUCGUUGUCUCAAGACCUCCUCUCUCCCACGGUCAGAUUCACCAUGGUAGAUCCACCUGGUGUAGUCUGACGUAAAUCCGUUCUUCACCAGAUGUUUGCCCAUCUCCAGCUUGGUUUGCCGACGCAUGUUUCCACAUUUGCUGCAAGGACACCAAGUCGAUCGAGCUCCAUUGACACUUGCAAAUGCCCGUUCCAAGAAAGCAUCAGUCUUGUCAAGCCAUUCAUUGGUCAACGUAUUCUGACUAGUGCGACCCGUGUACAUCCACUGACGAUCCUCCAUCCUCUACCAUUUAAAUAAGUAAUACAAAAUUCACAUUGCAUAUACACGCUCCUAUAUUGUCUACUAGGUAAAGAUAGGUCCUAAUCCCACCCGAGGAUGUGUAGGUGGGUUUAGUAUCCAUGGUCUACUCCGACCCGAGAUAAAAUUUCGGCAGCACCUCCCCGCUGUUCUCCAAAUACACGUCCUUGAUAGGAGAUUGUGUAUCUAGAGAACAACAGGGAGGUGCUGCCGAAAUUUUAUCUCGGGUCGGAGUAGACCAUGGAUACUAAACCCACCUACACAUCCUUGGGCUGUCCAAAAAACGUGGACAAUUCGAAACAGAUACGAUUAUAGAUAUGCAAAGAUCUGCAUAUUUCCAACCGUAUCUCUUUCGAACGGGAGACGCCUAACUAGGUUACGUGAUAUACGAACAUUAUACGGAAAGAGAGGUGUAGCAUGCCUCACCUUGCUAUCCUGCAAAGUGAUGAGUCGAGGACAGUCCUUGUAAGCCUCUCCUGCAACAAAAGAAACAAAACACUGUUUAAGUCAAAAUUCCGGCAGCAUCUCCCCUGCACGGGGAGGUUUCCAAAACCUGCAACAUAAUAAACGGCACGAUGGCCGACAACCACAAUCUCACCAAAGAGUUGGCACGAUGGCCAACAACCACAACCACACCUCUAUUCUUUUCAACCUUUUGUAAUUUCUACUAUUCCUUCUUCUCGAAUUUUCUAAAUCCAUACCUCUAAUUUAUAAAAUAAAUGCUACCUCUCUAGUAUUUUCAACAUUUAAUUUCUAAUUUCCAAUUUUCAUGCAUACUCUAAUUUACGAUGUGUAGCGGCAACAUAAACUUACCGGAGGGGUGACGGAGGAGCGGGCACGGGGCGGCGGCGGGGGUGCGGCCUGGCGGCGACGGCGCGGGGUGGCCGAGGGUUGGGGCCGGGGGUCGGGGCCGGCUGGCGCGGGGCGGCUAGGGGCGGCCGGGGCCGGCGGCGGGCGUGUGCGGGGCAGGCCGGCAGCGGGACGCCCGGGGCCGGCGUUGGGCGGCCGGGGCAGGCCGCGGGCGGCGCGGGCCGGGGACGGCCGGGGCCGGCCGCGGGCGGCGCGGGCCGGGGGCGGCGUCGGGCGUCCGGAGCGGCGUCGGGCCGGGGCGGCGCGGGCGGCGUCGGGGCGGCGUCGGGCGGCGCGCGUGGCGGCGGGGCGGGCGGCGCGCGGCGGCGGCGUGGGGCGGGCGGCGCGGGCGGCGGCGUCGGGCGGCGGCGGUGGCGUGGGGCGGGCGGCGCGGGCGGCGGCGUGGGGCAGGCGGCGGCGUGGGGCGGGCGGCGCGGGCGGCGGCGUGGGGCAGGCGGCGGCGGCGGGCGGCGCGGGCGGUCAGCGGGACGGGCGGCCGGGGCGGCGCGUGCGUGUAUGUGUGGUUGUGUGCGUGAGGACUUAGCCGAUUGGGAUUGGGUGGAUAUCCGAAAACUUUGCCGAGUGCCCGUGAUGUAGCACUCGGCACACCCUUUGCCGAGUGCUAGAUCAGGGGCACUCGGCAAAGUGUAUUUUUUUCCCCGAAAUUCGUACUGAGGCUUACACGUGGACCCGGUGUCACCUUUGCCGAGUGCCCUUGAUCUAGCACUCGGCAUACCCUUUGCCGAGUGCUAGAUCCGGGGCACUCGGCAAAGUGUAUUUUUUUCCCCGAAUUUCGUACUGACACUGUGACGUGGACCCGGGGUGACUUUGCCGAGUGCCCUAUUUAUGACACUCGGCAAACCAUGCCUUUGCCGAGUGCCCUACUUAGCACUCGGCAAACACCUACCUAUAUUGCAUGUGCAACAACACUUUUAGUAAUUAAAAGUAUGUAAACUUUGUGUAAACCUAGUCAAAUUCACUAAACAUUGCGUAUUCCAUUUUUUUAAGUAAUAUUGUACCAUUAUUUCAUGGAUUUAUAGCUCAUAUUAAAUUUAUAUCUAUUAAAUUCAUAUACGUGCAAUUAAUGAAUAAAAAUUACCAAACGGAUCUGAAAAUUUCCCAAAAUUUGACAUGAACCUAUCUAUGUUCUCUAUAGCCUAUAAAAAAAAAUUUGGACUAAAUGAGAAUUACAUUUAUCGAUUCAUCUCAAAAUCUUACCGGAUCCUUUGAACUUCUACGAAUCUUCUCCGGAGAUGCUUCGAAUUCUAAACAUCAUAUGUCAAAACUUGUGCGAAACCUUGUCAAUUUUUUACCACAGCCUCUGCAUACGAAAUCAUAGCAUCUUGCAAAAUCUCAUGAUUUUCAAACUUCGUUUGUAUUUUUGAGAAUUAAACAAUCAUUUGGCCACACGUUCGUAGUCGUGUUUCCUUAGCAAAAUGUUCGAAAUUUCUUUUCAUUUUCUGGGUGAGACCUCAAUUUAGACUCACUAACAUGAAUAUCAUUUUUCCACUCAUAUUAUUCCAUUAUUCCAACCACCUGCAGUUCAAAUUUGACUUAAAUCAAAAAAUUACUCUAAAUGAAAUUAAUUGAUUAAAUAUAGCAAACAAAACAAAAAAUAGUCCAUCUUCUACCAUGCAGUGACAAAUGCCAUACAUGUGGAGUGUAAAAAGUUUGGGGGGUGGAGGAGGGGAAAAAAAUUAUUUUUGCCGAGUGUGUCAAAAGACACUCGGCAAAGACUAUAGUUUGCCGAGUGUCCCAUCAUGACACUCGGCAAACUAGUGCCUUUGCCGAGUGUGUCAAAAGACACUCGGCAAAGACUAUAGUUUGCCGAGUGUCCCAUCAUGACACUCGGCAAACUAGUGCCUUUGCCGAGUGCCCCAUCAUGACACUCGGCAAAGACUAACGUCCGUCACGGAGUGGCGCCGCCGGCAGCACGGGGAAGUCACGUGGGCGUCAGUUUGCCGAGUGUGAAAGUUUGCCGAGUGCCUGUUGGGUGUUUGCCGAGUGUUUUUUGGGUGGCACUCGGCAAACCGGUCUUUCGCCGAGUGUUUUAUUUUUGCCGUGUGUUUUUGAUGUUACACUCGGCAAAACGGUACUUCGCCGAGUGCCCGAAAAAAAGCACUCGGCGAAGUAAUUACACUCGGCGACAUUAAGCUUUCCCGUAGUGCCUGCCGCUUUCUUGAUCGAGUAAUCUAUGCCCAUGAAAGAGUUCGGUAUUUGUCUGAUCGAGGAAGACGAGGUAGCACAUUUAUGUGAAAGCAGUACUGGCGGACAUGAUGGUCGGUGGCUAUUGAUUAUCUUCCAACUCCUUUAUGCCGUUAUCAGUACUACAAAAAUCAUUUGUAGGGGUGAAGUGUUUUUUUUUAGGGUGGACCAAAAGGUCUGCCGCCCCCAGGGGCGGAGCUACAGUCAACCAUCGAUGAUUUGGUCGCGAGCUCUUAUAUCCUUCCUAGGAGAACUGCCCAUACGUUGCUACGGAUAAAAAUAAUGUUUAUAAUUACAUUAAUCAUGAUUCGUUAUUUCAAAUGUGUGACAUAUUAUCGAAUUUACGUAUCUUUCUAUGCAUUUUUCGAACAAAGAGAUAUUUUUAUAAUAAUUUUAUCAGAUUAACAUGAGACAUAAUCUUCUAUGGUAUAUUAUGUACUCUACUAUGUAAAUUUUAUGUUUGUUUGUGUAGUCUUCUACGUUGCUCGCUUUUUAUAAUAAAAGUAGAGAGAGGUGGGCGCCUGUGAACAACAAAAACCCAAAAAUGUACACAAUAAUCAAUAUAUUAUAAUUAUUAUUUUUUCCUAGAAUAAAAAUAUGGACUCAUCGAGCCCAUGAAAAGCGCAAGGAGGUGGCCCGGCAGCCCCAUCCAUCCAUCCAUUGUUAUCCACACUUGCUAAACAACUGAAUUAAAAAUAUACUUUUAUCCACACAAGAGACGGAUGAAUUGUUUGGCACUGCACUUUCUUGGACGUUGCUGUUGCUGGAAUUGGCAUUAGGAAGGCGUCGCUCGGCCGUGCAGAGGUGCCAUUGUGGCUUUGUGGAGGUGCCCCUACGUUGUGCCGGAGCGGAGCUGCAGGCAGCGUAAGCGGCCGGGUAGCACGCCACAACAUGCUGGAGACAGCGCCGAACCUCGAGCGUUCAACUGGGGCUGCUUAUAGCGCCAACAGUGCUCUGUAUCUUGCUCAGUGGAUGGGAGGACGACGGUGAGCGGCGCCUUGGAGAACUGCAAAUGCUCCUGCACACAUGCCCCAUGGGCCGGAACUGCACACUAACCCCCGCGAACGAUGGUAGUAGGGCAACAAAGCUGGCCAUGGCGCUGCUCGUUGAGCUUUCCGUGUGCGCGAACAGGCAUUUGCUAUGUUCCCUACAAAAUUAAAGGUUGUUUGAUUCAACGGUCAAAUAGUGCGAGCAUGUUAAUUGAUGCGAGUGUAUCGUGGGAACUGCAAAAGAACUACAGGGCAUCGAGGAAGCAGUGUUGUUGCUCGGAAGUACCAGCACUGACGCGCUUUCCGAUGUGUCUCCAGCUUGAGUGGCUGCGUCUGCCCGCUCGGCAGCAGUUUCACCCUAUUCUGGGCAUCUCCCCACGCGUCUUGGCCAUCGUUACCUCUGGCAUCGUUAAGGUAUGGCUUCCUUUCAGCCUCGGCCGUUUCUUUCUCCAAUGCGCGAGUGCGAGGGCGAGCUCUGGCAGCAUGCUGCCUCCCACGGCAAUCUUGCCCAGGGCGAUCAGGUUGCACUGCCUUGCGGCGGCUUCAAGCGUGUCGAUCGGUAGCAGGCACUCCGAGCUCUCCUUGUGCAUAUGGGGCACCUUCACUCACGCCACCACUGUGAGGCCUGCCAGGUGUGCCACUUCAUUGUUCACAUGGUUACAAAGGCGGUGGCGUGGAAGUGUGGUGGCACGGACGAGGAAGAAAAAAUGACAGACCACGAUGAACGCAUUAAUUUAGUCCUCCGGGCAGAUUAAGAAAAAGAUUAGGGACUUUUAUACAAAACAUGCUUGACGGUUGGAAAAAACAUAUGUCACUUUAGUAUUAGGCAAGGAUGUGAUUAUAUGAUUAUAUGGACUGAUACCGGUUAAAAGAUCAUUAUCUAAUCAACCAUUCACGUCGCCCAUAGUGUAGGCAACAGGCCAUUCUAUUGCGAUCCUCUGUCGCCUAUCGCUUCCCUUGACAAUUGAAUUUGAAGUCAGAAAUUCUUUUGUUUCAAUUUUGCUAGGUCCACUAGUUUUCUUAAAUCAGAAUCAAGUUGAAACCAGAAGAGCCUUGUUAGCUUGUUUGAUCUAUACUUCUUUGUAGCAAAUGUAAAAUCACAACUCAUAUAAUGGUUGUUUCAUAUUCGAUCUGCAAGUCUUCUUCUCAUUCACACGAUGGAUGGCCAUAGGCACAAAGAGAAUCGAAGUAGUAGACCAUAAUCACUAUAGUAAAAGCUUAAAAUCUCAAAAUAUGUCAUCAUUUAUUUUUCAUUAUGUUAUCCAUAUAACUAUAGUAUGAGUUAGAAUAUUGCAUGGACAUCAGAUCAGCUACAACAUUUCCUAGCUUCGCCCUUCGCCGCCCCUGCAGCAGCUAGCCCAAUCCAGGAAAUGUAUUUCCCAGGUGGGGGUGAGCAGACCCUGGAAAUAAGCUGGGGACGGACCAGCACGUCAACCGUCUCUGAAAAUAGCCCAUUUCAGAGGUGGGCAACUCCAUGGUCCGUCCUAGCAGAUUGAAUUACAGGAGCUGACGACACGAAGCAACACCCUGCUGCUCAACCAAAUUUUGUAUGGACAAGGCGCAAAUGAAAAGGCAAGCGGAAAGCAUAAGGUCCAUUCUGCUCCGCACAUAUAUCUUAUCUCAACCACAGCUUUCCAUGUCAUCUCCUUAGAGAAACUCCGACAGAUUGAUUUUCCACAUUCCCCUUUAUCCUCUUAUAGGGCAUUCCCUUUCACGAUUUCUGAAUUUUGAAGACUAGUGGGGCAAGAAAUUUUGUAUAGUAACAAAGAUAAUCUCAGCCCCACUUGCUACACAUACAUGCACGGUAAAUAGAAAGGGUUAUUUUCUAUGUCAAAGGCAUGCUCAGCUUCAAAGUCGUUCUGUUGUUAGCAUCGUUGUGUUGUUUCUGAUAACGUGCAGGAGGAAGCGAAAACACAGAGUAGAAAGAGGAUGAGAAAUUAAAGAAGACAAUGAAGCUCACGUUCACGUCUACAUGAGGGAGCUCUCACACAAGCAAGUCCAUUCAUCCUCUGUCUCCAUGCUGUUGAUGAUGACAUGUCACAUGUCCUUUGCCUUGACGUCGGCGGCAGGCCGGCAGCCCAAUGAACCCAUGACGAACAGCAUGAGCAUGACCAGCUAACUUCAUUGCUGAGUACGACAUGUGGUUAUCCUUGCUAUAACUAAUGUUGGUCAGAAGAAGAAGCUGCUAUAAAGUUGUUCUGAAGACGCUGAGUUCUAGGCGUACGCAAGCCCCGGUUGAUUGCCUGCGAAGUUUGGAACCUUCGUUUCCAGGAUUAAGCUGUAAAUCUCCGAUAGACUCUCUUUAUAUCUCUUUAUGUGAUACUGUUACUGUUAUUCACUGAUGAUGUGACUAUAUGUAUGAAACUUGAUCAUGUCAUACAUACAGUUAGCACUUGGUUUUGCUGUUCUAAAAUCAGAUGUGACACCUACGAACCCAUGACGAACAGCAUGAGCGUAACCAGCUAACUUCAUUGCUGCUGCCUUUCGUAGAUGUUGGUGAACAUGACGUGUCUUUCAUCUCCACGAUGGCGACGGAUCCAAAGAUCAAAGAACAUGCAUCAACGCGAUCCGUAUGGCGUGUUUUCUGGUAUUUCCACCCCAUGAUGUAACGCCGACCGGGUUCCAUACGAGGCCUACGGCCAGUCUGUUCACUUUCAUCAUGUGCUCCGAUGAGAGUUCAUCACCGUGAUAAAAGACGGAGACGAGGGCACACAGUCGUAGCUGCAAGUAAGGCCAACAGGCUCAAGGCCAUGGCUUUACAGCCAGCAGUCUUGCCUUGCAUGCACUCACGGACUAUUACCGGACUAGCAAUUGGUACUUUGACGCACUACAUGGACCCUUACAAAAUUAAAAAAAUGAACGUCAACAAGCAAAUGAAACUGCAUGAACUGAAGUAAGCUAUUUCAUCCCUGAUGCCUUCCAUGCCUAUGGAUGUACCGCGUGCUCGAGUAAGCUAUGCUUGCAGAUGGAUCUUAAACCUGAUGUCAAAUUGUGGAUAAUUGAAAGAGUUUGCUGUUUGUCUGCUUUAGGGAAGAUGGGUAGCACGUUUAUAUGCCAUUAAUUCUCAUGAAAGAGUGCAUAUACCAUGUUUGUCGCAGCAAGAUGAGGCUGUAGAGUAGUAGACGUGUAGAACAAUGGUACAGGUUGUAUGAAUAAUUUAUUGAAGGGAAUCAUAGACGCCACAGCCACUGAAGCUGUUGGGGCAUGAUUAGCCAAUGGUCUAAUUCCUGAUAUCUCCGUAUCCUAAUUUUCUGAAGCCUUACGGACUCUACCCUCCUCACUUCAUAUAUAUUAGUGUUUAUAAUAGCGGUUUUAUAAGAAGUGCUGAAGGUAUUGGUCCUGCUAUAUCUUGCUUCCACUACCGGAUUUGUGUACGAAAUAUUAAUUCUUGAGAUUUGUCAAUGAUUUUAGGACGCAAUGAUACCUUCAACUACCGGAUUGUAUAUAUAAGUUAGUCUUAGCCAGUUAUAUAUUCGAGGAGGAAGCACGCAUUAAAUAAUAAAUAACUCAUGUUGAUUCAAUUGGCAACCUGGCCUCUAAAAAGAAAAGGACUCUGUUCUCAAAAAAUGAAAAAAAGUAGCCUGCUAAUAACAAUGUCGACACUUUACAUCUGAGCAGCUAGCUCCGUGAUGCUUUAUCUGGCUAGUGAACUACCUACCUAUAUUAUUUAAACAUUUUUGCUGCCUAUAAAUUGGGCAUCAUUUCAGCGGACCACCACAGCACCUGAGCUUGCCAUCUUUUCCUGUUCUAUCUCACUCAUUUGUCCUGUAGCUACUAGCUAAGCCACCAUAUCAUCCAUGGCUUCCGGUGCCUCCACCACGUUGAAGAUUGCCUCUAUCGCCGCUUGCAUCCUGCUGGUUCUGCUGUCCAAUGGCCACCCUACAGUGGCAACCGUUGAUUGUACUGCGGCUUGCAAAGAGCCGUGCGAGAGCUUUUCUAAGGGAUUCUGCGCGGGUGGAGCCACCAGCGGUUGUGCGACUAAGGCAGCAGCUACAGCAUGCCGCAAUUCGGCGUUCUCGCAGUGUGCGAACAACUGCUACACAGUUUGCACCGCCGGGACCAUCGCGCCUUGCGCUUGAAGAUGCAUUUGUGUUCCUACUUCCACAUUAUUGUUACUAGUGAGUGUGUGCAAGCAGGCCUGCCGUCCACGGGAGGAGGCACGCAAGCACGCAUGAUAAGCCACUGUCGUUUUUCCACUUUAUCAUUUACUUAUUGAAGGCAAUGUACGUGCCUAGCUCCUGUGUGGUUGAGCAUGUCAUCUUGGAAUUUUGUCCAAAGUUUAACAUACCAUGUUGUAUUGUUGUGUAUGGGUAUCAAUAUAAUUUAUCAACUAUUUUUCGUUUACCAUAGACAUUUCUAUGUUUAUUUGCAAGGGUUAGGGAAAUUUGUCCUUGAUAGUGUACUAACCGCGUCUGCCAACUGAACAGAUCAACUUUCUCAACAGCCUAUCUCCUACUUGAAAAAAUAUUCGCUUUAGAAAUGGUUUGUUUCUUUUCUGUGUAGCUCUAUCACCCAUCACCGUGAGGGUUACAAAACUCGGCGCAAGGGUUCCAAGCUGUGGCGCCACAAACCACAUAAGCUGUGGCGCAAGGGUUCUAGCUGGCUAGUCACAAACAACUAUUUCAUCCCGGAUGUCUUCCAUGCCCAUGGAGCUGCCGCUUUCUUGAUCGAGUAAUCUAUGCGCAUGAACGAGUUCGGUAUUUGUCUGAUCGAGGAAGACGAGGUAGCACAUUUAUGUGAAAGCAGUACUGGCGGACAUGAUGGUCGGUGGCCUAUUGAUUAUCUUCCAACUCCUUUAUGCCAUUAUCAGUACUACAGAAAUCAUUUGUAGGGGUGAAGUGUUUUUUUUUAGGGUGGACCAAAAGGUCUGCCGCCCCCAGGGGCGGAGCUAUAGUCAACCAUCGAUGAUUUGGUCGCGAGCUCUUAUAUCCUUCCCAGGAGCCCAUACGUUGCUACGGAUGAAAAUAAUGUAUAUAAUUACAUUAAUCAUGAUUCGUUAUUUCAAAUGUGUGACAUAUUAUCGAAUUUACGUAUCUUUCUAUGCAUUUUUCGAACAAAGAGAUAUUUUUAUAAUAAUUUUAUCAGAGUAACAUUAGACAUAAUCUUCUAUGGUAUAUUAUGUACUCUAGUAUGUAAAUCUUAUGUUUGUUUGUGUAGUCUUCUACGUUGCUCGCUUUUUAUAAUAAAAGUAGAGAGAGGUGUGCGCCUGUGAACAACAAAAACCCCAAAAUGUAGACAAUAAUAAAUAUAUUAUAUUUAUUAUUUUUUCCUAGAAUAAAAAUAUGGACUCAUCGAGCCCAUGACAAGCGCAAGGAGGUGGUCCGGCAGCCCCAUCCAUCCAUCCAUUGUUAUCCACACUUGCUAAACAAAUGAAUUAAAAACAUAAUUUUAUCCACACAAGAGACGGAUGAAUUGUUUGGUACUGCACUUUCUUAGACGUUGCUGUUGCUGGAUUGGGCAUUAGGAAGGCGUCGCUCGGCUGUGCAGAGGUGCCAUUGGGGCUUUGUGGAGGCACCCCUACGUUGUGUCGGAGCGGAGCUACAGGCAGCGUAAGCGGCCGGGUAGCACGCCACAACAUGCUAGAGACAGCGCCGAGCCUUGAGCCUUCGACUGGGGCUGCUUAUAGCGCCAACACCGCUCUGUAUCUUGCUCAGUGGAUGGGCGGACGACGGCGAGCGGCGCCUAGGAGAACUGCAAAUGCUCCUGCACACAUGCCCCAUGGGCCGGAACUGCACACUAACCCCCGCGAACGAUGGUAGUAGGGCAACAAAGCUGGCCAUGGCGCUGCUCGUUGAGCUUUCCGUGUGCGCGAACAGGCAUUUGAUAUAUUCCCUACAAAAUUAAAGGUUGUUUGAUUCAACGGUCAAAUAGUGCGAGCAUGUUAAUUGAUGCGAGUGUAUUGUGGGAACUGCCAAGGAACUGCAGGGCAUCGAGCAAGCAGUGGUGUUGCUCGGAAGUACCAGCACUGACGCGCUUUCUGAUGUGUCUCCAGCGGGGGUGGCAGCGUCUGCCUGCUCGGCAGCAGUUUCACCCUAUUCUGGGCAUCUCCCCACGCGUCUUGGCCAUCAUUACCUCUGGCAUUGUUAAGGUAUGGCUUCCUUUCAGCGUCGGCCGUUUCUUUCUCCAAUGACCGGUUAAAAGAUCAUUAUCUAAUCAACCAUUCACGUCGCCCAUAGUGUAGGCAACAGGCUAUUCUAUUGCGAUCCGCUGUCGCCUAUCGCUUCCCUUCAGAAUUUGAAGUCAGAAAUUCUUUUGUUUCAAUUUUGCUAGCUCCACUAGUUUUCUUAAAUCAGAAUCAAGUUGAAACCAGAAGAGCCUUGUUAGCUUGUUUGAUCUAUACUUCGUUGUAGCAAAUGUAAAAUGACAACUCAUAUAAUGGUUGUUUCAUAUUCUAUCUGCAAGUCUUCUUCUCAUUCACACGAUGGAUGGCCAUAGGCACAAAGAGAAUUGAAGUAGUAGACCAUAAUCAAUAUAGUAAAAGCUUAAAAUCUCAAAAUAUGUCAUCAUUUAUUUUUCAUUAUGUUAUCCAUAGAACUAUAGUAUGAGUUAGAAUAUUGCAUGGACAUCAGAUCAGCUACAACAUUUCCUAGCUUCGCCCUUCGCCGCCCCUGCAGCAGCUAGCCCAAUCCAGGAAAUGUAUUUCCCAGGUGGGGGUGAGCUGGAAAUAAGCUGGGGACGGACCAGCACGUCAACCGUCUCUGAAAAUAGCCCAUUUCAGAGGUGGGCAACUCCAUGGUCCGUCCUAGCAGAUUGAAUUACAGGAGCAGACGACACGAAGCAUCACCCUGCUGCUCAACCAAAUUUUGUAUGGACAACGCGCAAAUGAAAAGGCAAGCGGAAAGCAUAAGGUCCAUUCUGCUCCGCACAUAUAUCUUAUCUCAACCACAGCUUUCCAUGUCAUCUCCUUAGAGAAACUCCGACAGAUUGAUUUUCCACAUUCCCCUUUAUCCUCUUAUAGGGCAUUCCCUUUCACGAUUUCUGAAUUUUGAAGACUAGUGCGGCAAGAAAUUUUGUAUAGUAACAAAGAUAAUCUCAGCCCCACUUGCUACACAUACAUGCACGGUAAAUAGAAAUGGUCAUUUUCUAUGUCUAAGGCAUGCUCAGCUUCAAAGUCGUUCUGUUGUUAGCAUCGUUGUGUUGUUUCUGAUAACGUGCAGGAGGAAGCCAAAACACAGAGUAGAAAGAGGAUGAGAAAUUAAAGAAGACAAUGAAGCUCACGUUCACGUCUACAUGAGGGAGCUCUCACACAAGCAAGUCCAUUCAUCCUCUGUCUCCAUGCUGUUGAUGAUGACAUGUCACAUGUCCUUUGCCUUGACGUCGGCGGCAGGCCGGCAGCCCAAUGAACCCAUGACGAACAGCAUGAGCAUGACCAGCUAACUUCAUUGCUGAGUACGACAUGUGGUUAUCCUUGCUAUAACUAAUGUUGGUCAGAAGAAGAAGCUGCUAUAAAGUUGUUCUGAAGACGCUGAGUUCUAGGCGUACGCAAGCCCCGGUUGAUUGCCUGCGAAGUUUGGAACCUUCGUUUCCAGGAUUAAGCUGUAAAUCUCCGAUAGACUCUCUUUAUAUCUCUUUAUGUGAUACUGUUACUGUUAUUCACUGAUGAUGUGACUAUAUGUAUGAAACUUGAUCAUGUCAUACAUACAGUUAGCACUUGGUUUUGCUGUUCUAAAAUCAGAUGUGACACCUACGAACCCAUGACGAACAGCAUGAGCGUAACCAGCUAACUUCAUUGCUGCUGCCUUUCGUAGAUGUUGGUGAACAUGACGUGUCUUUCAUCUCCACGAUGGCGACGGAUCCAAAGAUCAAAGAACAUGCAUCAACGCGAUCCGUAUGGCGUGUUUUCUGGUAUUUCCACCCCAUGAUGUAACGCCGACCGGGUUCCAUACGAGGCCUACGGCCAGUCUGUUCACUUUCAUCAUGUGCUCCGAUGAGAGUUCAUCACCGUGAUAAAAGACGGAGACGAGGGCACACAGUCGUAGCUGCAAGUAAGGCCAACAGGCUCAAGGCCAUGGCUUUACAGCCAGCAGUCUUGCCUUGCAUGCACUCACGGACUAUUACCGGACUAGCAAUUGGUACUUUGACGCACUACAUGGACCCUUACAAAAUUAAAAAAAUGAACGUCAACAAGCAAAUGAAACUGCAUGAACUGAAGUAAGCUAUUUCAUCCCUGAUGCCUUCCAUGCCUAUGGAUGUACCGCGUGCUCGAGUAAGCUAUGCUUGCAGAUGGAUCUUAAACCUGAUGUCAAAUUGUGGAUAAUUGAAAGAGUUUGCUGUUUGUCUGCUUUAGGGAAGAUGGGUAGCACGUUUAUAUGCCAUUAAUUCUCAUGAAAGAGUGCAUAUACCAUGUUUGUCGCAGCAAGAUGAGGCUGUAGAGUAGUAGACGUGUAGAACAAUGGUACAGGUUGUAUGAAUAAUUUAUUGAAGGGAAUCAUAGACGCCACAGCCACUGAAGCUGUUGGGGCAUGAUUAGCCAAUGGUCUAAUUCCUGAUAUCUCCGUAUCCUAAUUUUCUGAAGCCUUACGGACUCUACCCUCCUCACUUCAUAUAUAUUAGUGUUUAUAAUAGCGGUUUUAUAAGAAGUGCUGAAGGUAUUGGUCCUGCUAUAUCUUGCUUCCACUACCGGAUUUGUGUACGAAAUAUUAAUUCUUGAGAUUUGUCAAUGAUUUUAGGACGCAAUGAUACCUUCAACUACCGGAUUGUAUAUAUAAGUUAGUCUUAGCCAGUUAUAUAUUCGAGGAGGAAGCACGCAUUAAAUAAUAAAUAACUCAUGUUGAUUCAAUUGGCAACCUGGCCUCUAAAAAGAAAAGGACUCUGUUCUCAAAAAAUGAAAAAAAGUAGCCUGCUAAUAACAAUGUCGACACUUUACAUCUGAGCAGCUAGCUCCGUGAUGCUUUAUCUGGCUAGUGAACUACCUACCUAUAUUAUUUAAACAUUUUUGCUGCCUAUAAAUUGGGCAUCAUUUCAGCGGACCACCACAGCACCUGAGCUUGCCAUCUUUUCCUGUUCUAUCUCACUCAUUUGUCCUGUAGCUACUAGCUAAGCCACCAUAUCAUCCAUGGCUUCCGGUGCCUCCACCACGUUGAAGAUUGCCUCUAUCGCCGCUUGCAUCCUGCUGGUUCUGCUGUCCAAUGGCCACCCUACAGUGGCAACCGUUGAUUGUACUGCGGCUUGCAAAGAGCCGUGCGAGAGCUUUUCUAAGGGAUUCUGCGCGGGUGGAGCCACCAGCGGUUGUGCGACUAAGGCAGCAGCUACAGCAUGCCGCAAUUCGGCGUUCUCGCAGUGUGCGAACAACUGCUACACAGUUUGCACCGCCGGGACCAUCGCGCCUUGCGCUUGAAGAUGCAUUUGUGUUCCUACUUCCACAUUAUUGUUACUGGUGAGUGUGUGCAAGCAGGCCUGCCGUCCACGGGAGGAGGCACGCAAGCACGCAUGAUAAGCCACUGUCGUUUUUCCACUUUAUCAUUUACUUAUUGAAGGCAAUGUACGUGCCUAGCUCCUGUGUGGUUGAGCAUGUCAUCUUGGAAUUUUGUCCAAAGUUUAACAUACCAUGUUGUAUUGUUGUGUAUGGGUAUCAAUAUAAUUUAUCAACUAUUUUUCGUUUACCAUAGACAUUUCUAUGUUUAUUUGCAAGGGUUAGGGAAAUUUGUCCUUGAUAGUGUACUAACCGCGUCUGCCAACUGAACAGAUCAACUUUCUCAACAGCCUAUCUCCUACUUGAAAAAAUAUUCGCUUUAGAAAUGGUUUGUUUCUUUUCUGUGUAGCUCUAUCACCCAUCACCGUGAGGGUUACAAAACUCGGCGCAAGGGUUCCAAGCUGUGGCGCCACAAACCACAUAAGCUGUGGCGCAAGGGUUCUAGCUGGCUAGUCACAAACAACUAUUUCAUCCCGGAUGUCUUCCAUGCCCAUGGAGCUGCCGCUUUCUUGAUCGAGUAAUCUAUGCGCAUGAACGAGUUCGGUAUUUGUCUGAUCGAGGAAGACGAGGUAGCACAUUUAUGUGAAAGCAGUACUGGCGGACAUGAUGGUCGGUGGCCUAUUGAUUAUCUUCCAACUCCUUUAUGCCAUUAUCAGUACUACAGAAAUCAUUUGUAGGGGUGAAGUGUUUUUUUUUAGGGUGGACCAAAAGGUCUGCCGCCCCCAGGGGCGGAGCUACAGUCAACCAUCGAUGAUUUGGUCGCGAGCUCUUAUAUCCUUCCCAGGAGCCCAUACGUUGCUACGGAUGAAAAUAAUGUAUAUAAUUACAUUAAUCAUGAUUCGUUAUUUCAAAUGUGUGACAUAUUAUCGAAUUUACGUAUCUUUCUAUGCAUUUUUCGAACAAAGAGAUAUUUUUAUAAUAAUUUUAUCAGAGUAACAUUAGACAUAAUCUUCUAUGGUAUAUUAUGUACUCUAGUAUGUAAAUCUUAUGUUUGUUUGUGUAGUCUUCUACGUUGCUCGCUUUUUAUAAUAAAAGUAGAGAGAGGUGUGCGCCUGUGAACAACAAAAACCCCAAAAUGUAGACAAUAAUAAAUAUAUUAUAUUUAUUAUUUUUUCCUAGAAUAAAAAUAUGGACUCAUCGAGCCCAUGACAAGCGCAAGGAGGUGGUCCGGCAGCCCCAUCCAUCCAUCCAUUGUUAUCCACACUUGCUAAACAAAUGAAUUAAAAACAUAAUUUUAUCCACACAAGAGACGGAUGAAUUGUUUGGUACUGCACUUUCUUAGACGUUGCUGUUGCUGGAUUGGGCAUUAGGAAGGCGUCGCUCGGCUGUGCAGAGGUGCCAUUGGGGCUUUGUGGAGGCACCCCUACGUUGUGUCGGAGCGGAGCUACAGGCAGCGUAAGCGGCCGGGUAGCACGCCACAACAUGCUAGAGACAGCGCCGAGCCUUGAGCCUUCGACUGGGGCUGCUUAUAGCGCCAACACCGCUCUGUAUCUUGCUCAGUGGAUGGGCGGACGACGGCGAGCGGCGCCUAGGAGAACUGCAAAUGCUCCUGCACACAUGCCCCAUGGGCCGGAACUGCACACUAACCCCCGCGAACGAUGGUAGUAGGGCAACAAAGCUGGCCAUGGCGCUGCUCGUUGAGCUUUCCGUGUGCGCGAACAGGCAUUUGAUAUAUUCCCUACAAAAUUAAAGGUUGUUUGAUUCAACGGUCAAAUAGUGCGAGCAUGUUAAUUGAUGCGAGUGUAUUGUGGGAACUGCCAAGGAACUGCAGGGCAUCGAGCAAGCAGUGGUGUUGCUCGGAAGUACCAGCACUGACGCGCUUUCUGAUGUGUCUCCAGCGGGGGUGGCAGCGUCUGCCUGCUCGGCAGCAGUUUCACCCUAUUCUGGGCAUCUCCCCACGCGUCUUGGCCAUCAUUACCUCUGGCAUUGUUAAGGUAUGGCUUCCUUUCAGCGUCGGCCGUUUCUUUCUCCAAUGACCGGUUAAAAGAUCAUUAUCUAAUCAACCAUUCACGUCGCCCAUAGUGUAGGCAACAGGCUAUUCUAUUGCGAUCCGCUGUCGCCUAUCGCUUCCCUUCAGAAUUUGAAGUCAGAAAUUCUUUUGUUUCAAUUUUGCUAGCUCCACUAGUUUUCUUAAAUCAGAAUCAAGUUGAAACCAGAAGAGCCUUGUUAGCUUGUUUGAUCUAUACUUCGUUGUAGCAAAUGUAAAAUGACAACUCAUAUAAUGGUUGUUUCAUAUUCUAUCUGCAAGUCUUCUUCUCAUUCACACGAUGGAUGGCCAUAGGCACAAAGAGAAUUGAAGUAGUAGACCAUAAUCAAUAUAGUAAAAGCUUAAAAUCUCAAAAUAUGUCAUCAUUUAUUUUUCAUUAUGUUAUCCAUAGAACUAUAGUAUGAGUUAGAAUAUUGCAUGGACAUCAGAUCAGCUACAACAUUUCCUAGCUUCGCCCUUCGCCGCCCCUGCAGCAGCUAGCCCAAUCCAGGAAAUGUAUUUCCCAGGUGGGGGUGAGCAGACCCUGGAAAUAAGCUGGGGACGGACCAGCACGUCAACCGUCUCUGAAAAUAGCCCAUUUCAGAGGUGGGCAACUCCAUGGUCCGUCCUAGCAGAUUGAAUUACAGGAGCAGACGACACGAAGCAUCACCCUGCUGCUCAACCAAAUUUUGUAUGGACAACGCGCAAAUGAAAAGGCAAGCGGAAAGCAUAAGGUCCAUUCUGCUCCGCACAUAUAUCUUAUCUCAACCACAGCUUUCCAUGUCAUCUCCUUAGAGAAACUCCGACAGAUUGAUUUUCCACAUUCCCCUUUAUCCUCUUAUAGGGCAUUCCCUUUCACGAUUUCUGAAUUUUGAAGACUAGUGCGGCAAGAAAUUUUGUAUAGUAACAAAGAUAAUCUCAGGCCCACUUGCUACACAUACAUGCACGGUAAAUAGAAAUGGUCAUUUUCUAUGUCUAAGGCAUGCUCAGCUUCAAAGUCGUUCUGUUGUUAGCAUCGUUGUGUUGUUUCUGAUAACGUGCAGGAGGAAGCCAAAACACAGAGUAGAAAGAGGAUGAGAAAUUAAAGAAGACAAUGAAGCUCACGUUCACGUCUACAUGAGGGAGCUCUCACACAAGCAAGUCCAUUCAUCCUCUGUCUCCAUGCUGUUGAUGAUAACAUAUCACAUGUCCUUUGCCUUGACGUCGGCGGCAGGCUGGCAGCCCAAUGAACCCAUGACGAACAGCAUGAGCAUGACCAGCUAACUUCAUUGCUGAGUACGACAUGUGGUUAUCCUUGCUAUAACUAAUGUUGGUCAGAAGAAGAAGCUGCUAUAAAGUUGUUCUGAAGACGCUGAGUUCUAGGCGUACGCAAGCCCCGGUUGAUUGCCUGCGAGGUUUGGAACCUUCGUUUCCAGGAUAAAGCUGUAAAUCUCUGAUAGACUCUCUUUAUAUCUCUUUAUGUGAUACUAUUACUGUUAUUCACUGAUGAUGUGACUAUAUGUAUGAAACUUGAUCAUGUCAUACAUACAGUUAGCACUUGGUUUUGCUGUUCUAAAAUCAGAUGUGACACCUACGAACCCAUGACGAACAGCAUGAGCGUAACCAGCUAACUUCAUUGCUGCUGCCUUUCGUAGAUGUUGGUGAACAUGACGUGUCUUUCAUCUCCACGAUGGCGACGGAUCCAAAGAUCGAAGAACAUGCAUCAACGCGAUCCGUAUGGCGUGUUUUCUGGUAUUUCCACCCCAUGAUGUAACGCCGACCAGGUUCCAUACGAGGCCUACGGCCACUCUGUUCACUUUCAUCACGUGCUCCGAUGAGAGUUCAUCACCGUGAUAAAAGACGGAGAUGAGGGCACACAGUCGUAGCUGCAAGUAAGGCCAACAGGCUCAAGGCCAUGGCUUUACAGCCAGCAGUCUUGCCUUGCAUGCACUCACGGACUAUUACCGGACUAGCAAUUGGUACUUUGACGCACUACAUGGACCCUUACAAAUUAAAAAAAUGAACGUCAACAAGCAAAUGAAACUGCAUGAACUGAAGUAGGGAAAUGAAGACCACGUACAGUUCUUAUUGAAGCUGAAAUGUAUGUCAUAAAAGUAUUAUUGUUAGAUUAAAGUCAAUUUAAAUAUUUAAACGAGUAACGAGGGCUCUGAUUAGUAGCAGGUGUAGUGAGGCCCUCCAAUAGACCAAUCAACGAUUUUUAGUUCCAACUGUUUAUAUGGUAAGUUCGGAUAUUUAAUUAAUAAAUUGAAGUUGCCUUAAAAUAUGCAUAGUAAAUCACAAGACCAAAGUGGAAUAACCAUUAGACAACUAAUAAAACCAUCUUUAAGUUUUUCUCUACUUUUAGCAAUAUUGCUUAGGUUUUCUAUUUCGUCUAAAUAUAUCUUAAGCGGCUCAUAUGUCCGAAUUACCCACACAGUGAAUAAAUGUCAUUCCAGUUCAAGGAUUCAUGUGCAGUUGUCACACACUAGUGUGAACCCAUCAAGUGUGUGUCUUGCUUCCCUUUUCAAUCAACAAGCUACCUCCCUGAUUUGAAUAUAAUAAACUUAAAUGCUUCAGUUUCUAUGGUCCAUUGUUAUGUGAUGGAUAUGAAAAAUGAAAAAUAUAGCCUACAAUGUUCAAAAUGCAUCUGAAGUACUAGGGUAUAAAAUAAGCUCACUGCCAUCCAAGUACAAGGGUUAACAACUAGAAAUAUAACCUUUAUUGCUAUCUGUAAAGAAAAUAUGCCUGUUGAAUUACAUGUUCGGGAAAGGUGAAUGCACGGAUUGAUGGCUACUAUUAGCUAAUGUUGUUGUCUUUUUUGUUAAUAACUAGGUUUCCAAUGCCAAACUCUGCGUAAGGGUUCAGCAACUGGCUACAUAUUGGAAAGGAGUUAGUGUUGGUGGCUAGCCCUCAUUAGAGAUAACUAUUUCAUCCCUGAUGCCUUCCAUGCCUAUGGAUGUACCGCGUGCUCGAGUAAGCUAUGCUUGCAGAUGGAUCUUAAACCUGGUGUCAAAUUGUGGAUAAUUGAAAGAGUUUGCUGUUUGCCUGCUUUAGGGAAGAUGGGUAGCACGUUUAUAUGCCAUUAUUUCUCAUGAAAGCGUGCAUAUACCAUGUUUGUCGGAGCAAGAUGAGGCUGUAGAGUAGUAGACGUGUAGAACAAUGAUACAGGUUGUAUGAAUAAUUUAUCGAAGGGGAUCAUAGACGCCACAGCCACUGAAGCUGUUGAGGCAUGAUUAGUCAAUGGUCUAAUUCCUGAUAUCUCCGUAUCCUGAUUCUCUGAAGCCUUACGGACUCUACCCUCAUCACUUCAUGUAUAUUAGUGUUUAUAAUAGCGGUUUUAUAACAAGUGCUGAAGGUAUUGGUCCUGCUAUAUCUUGCUUCCACUACCGGAUUUGUGUACAAAAUAUUAAUUCUUGAGAUUUGUCAAUGAUUUUAGGAAGCAAUGAUACCUUCAACUACCGGAUUGCAUAUAUAAGUUAGUCUUAGCCAGUUAUAUAUCAGAGGAGGAAGCACGCAUUAAAUAAUAAAUAACUCAUGUUGAUUCAACUGGUAACCUGGCCUAUGUCACUCGGAUACACCGUUUCUCUGAGGUGUUCCAGGAGGCAUAAGUUGUGGAACAAUUCCGCAACUCUUUAGAUGAUUGCUAAACUCAUCAGAUCGUAAGGCCUUAAUUUUUUUGCGAUGCUGAUUUUCAACUUCAUUCUGAAAUUCCUUGAACUUUUCAAAGGUUUCGGACUUGUACCUCAUCAAGUAGACAUAGCCAUAUCUACUAAAAUCAUCAGUGAAAGUUAUGAAGUAUUGGAAUCCUCCUCUAACCUUCGUGCUCAUUGGUCCGCAUACAUCACUAUGUACGAGUUUCAACAAGUCUACUGCUCUCUCAGGAAAUCUUGUGAAAGGUGUCUUGGUCAUCUUGCCUAGCAAGCAAGCCUCACAUAUCUCGUAUGAUUCAAAAUCAAACGAAGUUAGAAGUCCAUCAGAAUGGAGCUUUUUCAUGCGCUUUUCACUUAUAUGACCCAAAUGACAAUGCCACAAGUAGGUAGGACUCAAAUCAUUAGGCCGAGGCCUUUUAGCACUUACGUUACAGACAGGUGAACCAUGAAGAUUUAAAACAAAUAAUCCAUUCACAAUGGGCGCAAAAGCCAUAAACAUAUCAUUCUUAGAGAUCACACAACCAUUGUUUUCACUCGCAAAUCAAUAACCAUCCUUCAUCAAGCAUGAAGGAGACAAAAUGUUUCGACUUAAGCUAGGAAUGAAAUAACAAUUAUUCAACUCCAUAAUAAAUCCUGACAGGAGGUGGAGUUGCAUCGUCCCGACGGUCAACGCAGCAACUUCUUGCAUUAUUGCCCACGCGGAAAUCAACUUCUCCUCUUUCCACACUUCUACUUCUUAUCAUUCCCUGCAUCGAAUUGCAAAUAUGAGCAACCGAUCUGGUAUCAAAUACCCAAGAAUUAAUAAUUAUCUAUAACAUUAACAACAAGCGUACCUGAGGUAGAAGUAUUCUUACUUCCACCAUUCUUCAACGAAGCUAGGUAUUGCUUGCAGUUUCUCUUCCAGUGACCAGGUUCGUGACAAUAAAAGCACUCUUUGUCUGGAGUAGGCCCAGCUUUAGCCUUGGGCGCUGGGUUUGGCUUAGACACUCCAGCCUUACCCUUCUUCUUCCAAAAAUUGCCCUUCUUAUUGAAGGUAGGCUUGUUCUGUACAGCCAUCACAUGGUUGGUACUAGCGCUUUUCUUAAUGUCUACCUCUGCUGUCUUGAGCAUACCAUAUAGUAUAUUCAGACCCUUCUCCGUCCCAUGCAUAUGGUAGUUCGAGAUGAAGUUCCCAUAGCUAGGCGGAAGAGAUGAAAGAAUGAAGUCAGUGGCCAACUCUUUGCCCAUUGGGAAGCCCAUCUUCUCCAAUCGCUGAGUGUAACCAACCAUCUUGAUUACAUUUGGUCCUACUGCUGCGCCUUCUGCUAGCUUGCACUCCAGAAAGGCUUUGGACACAUUGAACCUUUCAGUCCUAGCCUGUGUCUAGAACAUGUCCUUGAGCGCCACGAUCAUAUCGUGUGCCUCAUGAUUUGUUUCGAACUGCAUCUGCAGCUCGGGUUCCAUGCAAGCAAGCAUAAGGCAGCUUACCUCAAGAUUAGCAUCAAAUGCCUUCUUGUAAGCAGCCUUAACGGCAGCAGAUGAAUCAUCAGCAGGUACUGGUGGUAGUGGGGUGUCUAGAACAUCUUCCUUUUUAUCGGCCCUGAGAACAAUUCUCAGGUUACGGAUCCAAUCCGAGUAGUUUGUUCCAUUCAACUUGUCCUCUCAAGGACCGAACGCAAAGCAAAUGGUGUGGUGUUGCUAGGUGCCAUUUAAUCUACAACAAAAGUAAUGCAAAAUACACUAAGACAAACAUAUCCAUGAUAGAGCAAAUCACAUUAAACUAUGUUAACAGAAUCUACUCCCACUAAAAUCAAUAUCCCUCUAUUGAUACUUAGUGAUUCAGGAUCCACAACUAACAAGUCUACUAGUGAGCUUUAGCAUCACCGCUAGCAAACAAAGUAGAUCGGUAAGCAACUUUUCCUAAUCAUAUCACAUAUGACUCCUGUUGUUGGGUGACAUCUCCAUGUCUCGGCGCCCAACCUUUAUGCCCCAAGGUCCUUAAACGUUAAGUUAACCUUGUUAAGCAAACCAACCCUUAUGCAUGUAAGUGUGCGACACAAACCCGUCUAAUCAAGAAAAACUAGUGGCACCCUAAUUUCAUAGACCCACCACUAAUUGUACAAGACAUGGGACGGUGCAAGUUUUAGUUGGGAGGGCAUACUAACUUAAACUUUGUGAGGGAUCGUUCUACUUCUAACAUCACAGCAUGCAGAAAGUAAAACAUAAACAGAAUAGCAUUCACACAGUUGUGACACAGUAUGGCCCGUUUUCUUAUGGUGAUCUUCAUCUCCAUAGAACCUGUUCACCAUGGUGAUCUCCAUCUCCAUGUUCCAUGUGCGCCAUCCUCUUGGUGAUGAGUCCUCCAAGAACUAGAACAUGCUAUUACGCCUAAUAGCUAGUAAAAAGCUAGUAAUGAAGAUUACAUAGUUGGUUGGAUCAUCACAGAUUGGUACGCAGACCAUUAAAUACAUUAAGGUGACAACACAUAUGGCUCCUGCCGUGUUGCCGUACGCACGACACGCAGGUCACGAAUGAGUUACACACAUGCAUCACAUACACAAAGGGGCCAUACUGAUCACAAGAUACAUACAUCUUGCAAAACAGAGUUAAGCGUCCUAACGUUCCAAACUUUGGAGGCCCGAAACUCCAUCUUCCAAGACAAAUUUGGGAAAUCUAAUUUCGCCGAAAAUGGCGAAGCGGUCGAAUUUCAUGUGUAACUUUUUCUGUAGAUCAAUUUUUAUAUAAAAUUCGCCCCGAUCCGAGAUCGUAUCGAAAAGUUACGGCUGAUUUACCGAAGCAUACGCACACGGCAAAAUCCCGACCCCGGCAGUAGAUCCCAUCUACUAUUGCACAUCUCAUGUGCCUGGCGUAUGAACCUAGAUUUCGAUUCGACCAAUCACAUUGAUCUUCGCACACUGCAACUGGAAUUACGUGUAUCACCUAACUCCGAUGGUGGAAACCCGACCGGUAGGAGUAUGUCGUUACACUACCAUAGCAGCAAGAACAGGAAACCAGGACAGAGAUCAAAUUGAAAACUCGCAUAUCUCCAUAUGCACACAUCCCGAAUCCAAAACUAAACAGCUACGGCUCUGAUACCACUGUCGGGAUACGAGGUAGGCUACACUAGCGCAAAUCAAAAAUUUUCUACCGCGUAAACCAGGGAAACUGCCGUAUAAGGAUCACGGGAUUACCACUCGACGCACUACUAGUGCGGAAGAUGUAGAUUCACGUCGAUGCAGCGAAGUCGAUCAACGUAGUCGUACGUAGUCGAUCACGUCGACGUCCAACAGCUCCUCAGCAGCUCGUCCACGUGCAGCAAGAUCUCCCUCGUGCCGCGGCUUGUCGGCGGCUCGUCACGGCUCGUCGGCGGCUCGUCCAAGUGCUGCAGGCGCAACACCUCCAAGGUAUCCACACGUGCAGGGAGGAAGCGUCACAAGCCGGACUGCUAGAUCCGUGAGUUGCAACAGGCGUGGGAGGCGCGGCUGAUGAGUUUCGUCAAAAAGGUGUAAACCUUAGGGCGCCCCCACCCCUCUAUUUAUAGAGGUUCCUAACGGGCCUCUGGGUCCAAGGCCCAUUAGUACUUCUAAACCUAAUCCAACUCGGAUCACAUCCGAAUUGGGCUUCCAGCCCCUUAAGUGUGUGACCCUAUGGGUUCGGAUACGUAUAGACAUGGCCCGAGUACUCUUACUCGGCCCAAUAGUCGGUAGCGGCCUCUAGCAAGACGUGCCAACUCCUAUAUGCACACGAAGAUCAUAUCAGACGAACCAUCACAACAUUAUAUACAUGCUAUUCCCUUUGCCUCACAAUAUUUGGUCUAGCUUCAAGCCGACCGCUCUUUCUCGAUCCUAUGAUUCGGAAUCCCUUUGUAGGUUAACUCUUAACCGUACGUAGCAUGGCCAUGCAUUUUUGGAUCCGAUCACUCGAGGGGCCCAGAGAUAUCACUCUCAAUCAGAGAGGGGAAAAUCCCAUCUUGAUUAACCAUGUCUCAUAGCAUGCUUCUUGACAAACCCGAAAGCUACCUUUAUAACUACCCUGUUACGGCGUAGCGUUUGAUAGCCUCUAAGUAGGUCGAUCCACAUCUUGAAUACAUGCGACAAUCUCAGGUCUAAGGACAAAGCGUAUAUGAUGUUUAAAGAGAGAACUACUUCUCAUGUUGGGUCAGUCCUAGCACAUGUCUCCACAUGAACCCACAUUAUUAGUUCAACAUCUCCAUGUCCAUGACUUGUGAAACAUAGUCAUCAACUAAUACAUGUGCUAGUCUAAUAUUCAUGUGUGUCCUCACAUGAACUCCGACUAGGGACAACUUUAGAAUAACCAUACAAGUAAAGAGUUUCACACACAAUUCAUGUAAUUGCAAAUCAAUUCAAGUAGUCUUUAAUGGAUAUUCAAGGAACACAAAAUAAAUCAUGGAUACAAAUGGAAUAUCAUCAUCUCUAUGAUUGCCUCUAGGGCAUACCUCCAACAAUUUGCAGGGUCAUGCACCAUGCGUGCGGCGACCCAUCCAUCGGACAGCGCAUGGCAUUGCACAAGACGUACUGGGAGGAUAUGCAGUGGAAUGAGCCAGACAGGUACUACGCCCUCCUCGCUCUGCUAGUUGGUGUGGGGAACCUGGAGGCCUGCACCAUCAAAGGGAUUGUAGAUUUCUUCGCCGUCCCCCGGCCAUCCCUCCAAAAGCUUUCCCGCACCACACCGGGUGGGCAUGAUAUGAGGGCCUAUCUUUACGCCCUGAUGAUAUACAGGAACAACAGUGCAAUCAUGGACGAUGACAUUGCGAAGAGAUAAAUCUACCACGUCGAAUGCAAGGAUGGUUCGGCAGUGAGCGGGAGCACAAGCUCAAAGAAGCUGCGCAACGAUGCCUGUCAGGUGUGCCGCGAGGAGGCCGCCUACCUAGUCAAUAGAGUUACAUGGGGCGGGCAUGGUGAUCCGCUUUCACCGGCACCAGUUUGAGGCGACUUCCCUUGCAUUGGAGGCGACUGCGGCAAGGUUAAGGGCUGGGAACAAGCUACGCUUUAUUGCAACGAGGACUAUAGGAUACGCCAUGAAAUUGUAGCGUUCAAAAGGAGAAUGGAGAUCGAUAACUAAUUGUAGGAUUUCUUUUGCUUUUGCCUAAUGUUGUCCAUGACUCGUUGGCUGAACUUGUAGUGCUGGAACUAUGUUUGUGGUUAAUUUGGCUCAACUUGUAGUCACUACAAGGUUUUGUCUAUCCAAUGGAGUUGUAUUUUCGCAAUGUGUUUUUGUGUCUAAGCACACCUUACACCUCCCUACAUAUAGGUGUUAUGAUGCACAUAUAAAAAGAACCCACACUUGGGUACCUUCAUUUGUCCUUGGAUUUCAAUUGUGGGACCCACUACAUCCCGCUAGGUUGUGCCUCAAAUUUUUAGUACUAGUGCAAUGUUUCCUCCAUUCUUUUUUUCCUAAACCCUCAAAUAUAUCUCAGCCUCUACCCCACUUGCCCCCAAAACUGCGCUGGCUGCGUUAGGGGGGGCAACGGUUCCUCUCUGCCCAAGCGACUCCAUCCAUGGCAACUCCUCCUUCCAUGGCGACUCCUUCCAUGGCCGGCGAUGGAGAACCCAGCACACGACCAAGUACGGUCAGAGUCGAGGAAGCCGAUAUUGAAAACAAAUGUUACAGGUUCGCAUCCACCUUUAACGCCUUCUAGGUUAGGGCAGAAAAUUUCUACACAUUAAUUGCGUACAAUCGAUUUGAUGCUGCCUCAUUGGCGCAUGCUUUUAUAAAUCACAGAUCUGAUUACUACUGAUUAGUUUUUCGCAUAGCACUAGUAGUACUACAUCUUCAUUCAUUGAUGCAAGGGUUUUGAUAUCUAUGUGCACAUACAGAUCAGAGGAGUUGACAGGCUAGAUGGAUGUGGCAGGUAAUGGUACAGUGCCUGGGGGCAGAAGGACAAGAUGUGCGCCUGGUUAAGGUAAUAUUGAUAGCGCACAAUUAGACUUUGUCAGCUUGUGGGAUUACAAAGAUCAACUUCGAUAUGGUGCGUGGGACUACUACUACUACAAGAAGAGAAUAGGAAAUGCUGAUGCAUCUGUUCAGUCAAUUGGUUACCCCAAAGAUGUAGAGUGUAUGUUUCAGUACAUGGAUUCAUCUGAAGAAAGGAAACUAAGGUUGAUACUAUCAAAACAAGAAUUGGUUGGAGCUGUCAACAUUACACCCCUGAAACAACCAAGGGUGAAUGAGUCUGAUGAUGUUACUGAUGCUGAUACUAGUAAUGAUGAAUCACUUGAUGAAUACAAAGAUUGUCUUCAAGACCAAGACCUAGAUUGUGGUAUGUAUGCUGUUUGUACUACACUAUGCACAUGUGUCUAUAACUGUACAAUGUACUCACAUAGUUGUGUUGGUAACUUGCAGAUCUAUACGAUAACUACAGGGAAGAAAUAGUAAAAACAUACUCUAAAUGGUUAAGGCAGAAAGGCCUUAUGAGAGAUAUUUGUAAAUCCUUUUUCCUCUGAACUAAUUCUUAUUUUUGAUGAAAAUUGUACAAUCCUCUAAGUGCACUUGUUUUUUAUUUGUUCAGUGGCUUAUAAUAGAGGUCAAGCAAAGCUUACAGAAGUACGUGAUGAGAGCAAUAGUAGUAGCGCCACGCCACCAUCACAAUGGCCAGCACAUGCUAGGAAACCAAAGCAGACAACAGGUUCUAAAAGCUUCACACCUUCUGCAGUUUUUUAUGCUCUUAUUGUGCACGACUUAAUGUAAGUUUCUAUUUUUUGAUUGUAAGUAAGUGGCAAGAAAAUGGACCGAGGAUGCUUGAAAGGGCUAGCUGUGGUGGCCAAGAGAUCGAAGUCUGGCUCAUAGAAACUGAAAAUCAAAUUUUCCAAAAAUGUGGGUGGUCCCUGUGGAGAUAACAGACGUACCUUUGUGGAUGAGGUUGUUCUGUUUAUAAAGUAGAAGGCUCCAUUAAUUGGAGUUAGAAAUUGGAAAGAUGUGUGUCAGCAUGUCAAGGAUGAUAUCGUAGAAUCUGUAAUGGUAUGUCAAUGGCCACCUCAUCCUUCAUUAUAAUGUUACAUAUUAGUCUUGUUCCCUCUAUUUUCUUGGAAACAUAUAUUUUGAAUGUAGCAUACAUAACAAGUUUUCUUUCCCACUAGGAUCAUUGGGACCUUGAGACCACUGAGAGUCCGAACAAAAAGAUAUGGAAGGUUGCCAAUGAACGCUACAAAAGUUGGCGAUCUGUUUUGCAUUCUACAUACAAGGCAUACAACAAUUAUGAUGAGAGAAGGAGACAUAAGCCUGAAGACAUAGACAUUGUGAAGUGGCACUAUUUGAACAUGUACUUUGGAACUAAGGACUUCAAGGUACGCCCUCUUUUGUAAGUAAAAGAACACAAUCAUGAGUUCAACUUUUCAUCGCUAACCAUUACUUUACGGGAUGACUGUGUAGAGUAGGAGCAGCAUGAACUCUUUGAAUCGUAGCCAACUGAGAACAAAUCACUCGGGGGGUUCCAAACCUUUCUCGUAGUGGAGUUGGGAAAAGGUAAAGAUUUGUUUACUUAUUCUCAACUUUCAGUACAUUACACAAUGAUAUAUUAAUAGCGUUUAAUGUUGUAAUCAUAGAGAGAUCCAGUAACUGGCGAUGAGCCACCCCUUUUGGAACUUUGGAAGACUACUCAUACUAGGGAAGAAAGAUGGACAAAUCACCUAGCUGAAAGUAUUUAUGUGUGUACUGAGUGCUAAUUUGAUCAUAACAUUGAUUCGGCAUUACAAGCUAUUUUUUGGUAUGAAAACAUGACCAAAUUAAUGUUACAAUUAAUUGUUUCUUGCCAUCAGACAUGUACAUCUAGAAAAUUAUCUCAACACAAUCAGAUGAAGAAGACCAACAAGUCAUACUUCUGGACUUGCUAAGGAAGACCAAGUUUUCUAGGAAACGUACAGGGAAACAACAGGAGCCAAAUAUAGAAGGUCACGUGGCCAUGGUUACUUGUCGAAUCCAAAACGAAAGCAAGAAGCCCUUCAGGAGAGAAUGAUUCAGGAGAGAAUAGAGAGGCCCGAAGAACAAGAAUGUCAGUUACAGGAAAAAAUGCAAAAGCAUGAAGCUAAAAAGGAAGCAGAGAUAGAACAACUUAAAGUUGCACUUAGCCAAGAAUUGAUGGGGGAAGUUGCUAGAAUGAUCGCGCCUUAUCGUCAGGCUUUACUGCAAGAGGUAACCAGAAUAUAAUUUGUGCAUGUUGAUUUAUAUUGUGUUCUAAAUUUUCAUAAUGUCACUAAUGUCUAGCCUCCCCUCUUUUAAAAUCCGCAGCGUACCCCAGCAAACAACAAUAAUACAACUGAAGUUGAUGCUAGGACCACCGAGGAUAACAUUGAUGCAAGGCCAGUACUGGACAGCCAAGAAAUAAGGAACCAUGUAUCGACAAUAAUUGGUUGUGAUUGAAAAUAUAUAUACAUAUGUCGCUAAUCUCUUGCCUACCCGCUUUUAAAUUGUGCAGCAUACCCCUCAAACCAACAAUAAAACAACUGAUGAUGAAGCUGGGAGCACUGAGGAAAACCUUGCUGCAACACAAGUAGUGCAUAGUCAAGAAACAUCAAACCAGGUAACAAUAUCGAACAAGCAUUCCAAUCAUGAUGGUUUUUUGCAUUAAAUUUCAGCUAAAAUUGUUCCAAAAACUUUAUUAUGAUCCAGAAUGCUCCAAGAACGAUUGUCACAACUGAAAAAAGCACUUUGGCACCAACCAGAAAUGCUAAAACUGCCAACGUUGCAAAGAGUCUGUUCAAUGAGAAUCACGGUAAAGGUGUAGGAGCUGUUGCAGGAUCCAGAUUCAUUAGUACACAUCAGCUUAUAUCUGGUGCUAAAACUCGAGCAGGCAAAAAGAAAGUACAACAAGUACAAACUGGAAGUGUGCUUUCAAUAUUGCUGCAUAUUGAUUCCAAGACAAAGUAGCUUCAUAAGUUUUAAUUCACUUGUUUGUUUCUCUUUGCUUCAGCAGGCUAGUGAAGCUACGGAGGGGCAAUAAGACUCAAGGUUGCCUACAGGUUACAAGCAGAACUUCAAGCAAAGUUGAUCAUCAUGAAUGCUGGGAGUGAUCAAGAUUAUAGAUGUGUACGAAUAAUAUAGGUGUUCUACAUACUUUAUUAUUGGGAGUCAUGUGGAUGAAUGGACAAGAAUAUUUUCCGUUGUAUUAAAAAAUAUGACGACGACAUAUUUCCCGUUGCAAUAUCCAUUGAGCGUAUAACCACGACCCGUAUUGUGUUGCACUAUCCUGUACGCAUAUAACCACGACAUAUUUUGAUGCGAUAUGGUUGAUGCAUAUAACGACGGCACAUACCUCGUUGUGAUACCUCGUGAGCAUAUUACAACGCUUUCUCAUCAUUGCGAUAUCCAUUGAGCGUAUAACCAUGACCCGUAUUGUGUUGCAAUAUCCUGUAUGCAUAUAACCAUGAUAUAUUUUGUUGCGAUAUGGUUGAAGCAUAUAACGACAGCACAUACCUCGUUGCGAUACCUUGUAAGCAUAUUACAAUGCUUUCUCGUCGUUGCGAUAUAAUUUAAGCAUAUAACGAUGACCCAUAUUUCGUUGCGAUACCCUUUAAGCAUGUUGCAAUGCCAUAUUUUGUUGGAAUAUGGUUGACGCAUAUAGCCAUGACUAGUAUUUCGUUGAGAUAUCCUCUUAGCAUAUUGCAAUAGGAUAAGUCUUGUAUUGCAACAACAUUCUUGUGUUGCAUUAACGCUUGUUUGCAACAGCGCAAUGUCAUUGCAACAGCCACUAUAGCAACGACGCCUGCCGUUGCAAUUAACAAAAUUGCAACGACAAUGGACGUUGUAAUAUCCACUUAUUACUACGACACACAUCGUUGCAACAACUCACCCUUAUGCCCAAGGCUUCCUGUGUCAUUGUAAUACCCUAUUACAACGCAAGUUUACGCAACGACAUGAAUUUUAAGGCAACGACACAAAAUUAUCGCAAUAGCUCGCUAUUGCAAUGAAAUGACCCCUAUUGCAAUGAUUUCGUGCUGUGGUGCUAGUGACAAGACCUUGUAGUGAAUGAUUUGGCUGCUAGCGUCACUUGACCUACCCAACUCCCUCCGGGUUGGACGGUUGAGUGGGAUUCCUCCUCAGACGGCGAGGAUAGGGGUCAUUGAUGUCAUGAUCGGCUUCGUCAUGAUAUCGUGUAUCGACGUUUAGUUUCCGCAUGUUUUACUUCUUUGUUGUUUGAAACCGUGCAAACUCUGAUCUAAUAAAUUAUUGAUCUUUCUAUAAUAUGAACGGAAUGUUUUAAUCUCUGUAAGCACUAACCUUUGUGUGAGCAAUGCUUAUCGAUCCUGUAUAUGUGGUUUAUCAGAGGAAAUCCAACGGUCGACUAAGUUGACUUGUUUAAGGUGCUUGAUCGCGUGUUAGGUGACUUAAGUGCACUUUAGCCAGGUUAAUUUUAGGCCAUUCCGCCACAACAUGGAUACUUUUUCCUCUUGGUUGCAUCAACACCUUAUAGGUAACUCUGAGAUUCACCCACAGCUCGCUUGGUUAGCUAAGGGACCUUCUAGCAGAAUCGUGAAAUUCCAAGGCUACAAGAUAAAUGAUUAUACAUUUUACACGAGAGCCCAAGACCAAAAAAGCACGAACCAAAAUAGUGGUGUCCGCAUAGAUGUCAUUCACAGCACCGGUAGCAAGGACUCCUAUUAUGGUUUCAUAGAGGAGAUAUGGGAACUCGAAUACAGACCGCUGAACAUCCCUCUGUUUUGUUGCUAAUGGGUGAAGCUAACUGGCGUAACCAAAGAUCAGCAUGGAAUGACAAUAGUGGACCUGACCAAGACUGGAUACAAUGAUGAACCAUUCAUACUUGCCAAUGAUGUGCAUCAAAUUUUCUAUGUGAAGGACAUGUCUAGCAAACCAAAAAAAAUUCAGAAGAGCCAUGGAAGCCAAAGCGCCACAUAGUGCUUCUAGGUAAGAGAAAAAUCAUGGGAGUCAAAGAACAAAAUAGAGCAAUCAGAUCAUUAUGAUUAGUUUGAUGGCAUGCCUCCAUUCUCUAUUGAAGUUGACCCAAGCAUCAUGCCAAAGAAGAGGCUCCGUACUUACGCCAUGAUCAUGACCAAGGAACUUUCAUGAAGAAGUUUCUUAACGUUACAUUGUAAUGCACUAAAUAUGCUUCACCUUUAUGUAAAGUUACAUUGUAAAGUUCUAUGAUUUCAUGUACUACUUGAUACAAUUUUUAAUUUAAUGUAUCUAUGAUUUCAUGUGUGUUUAAAUUAGGUGAGGUGAAGAAUUAUUCAAGAUAUGUUUUUUGAUAUAUUUUUGCAUGUUUGAAAAAUAUAAAGUUUUUAUGUUUUUCUAUAACAAAGCCAGUUCAAAACAUAUAUUAAUUUGUAUGUUUAAAUUAGUUGAGGUAAAGAUUUAUUCGAUCAAUAUGAACAAUGUUAACCACAUACAUCAAUUGAAUUUUUCACACGUUGAAAUUAUUUAAUUGAAUAAUUUCUUGAUGAUAGUGAUGUAGUAAAAUAAUUAUUUUAUAAACUAAAAGAACUAGUAUAGAAUUAAUGACUCAUUCAAACUUAUUGUUAAUAUACUUGCUAAUUUAAUAUAGUUUUGCAUGUUCCAAAUAUAUAAAGUUCUUAUUUUUUCCUUCCUAAAAUCCAGUGAAAACAUAUAUAAAAUCUAUUUGCAAAAAACAGGCGAGAACUGAAAAAUGGAAAACGAAUCUUUUGUCCUAGAUGCAAAUUGCAUCUAGGACAAAAUGUCCCCCCUUUAGGCCCGGUUGCAAUUUGCAACUAGGAUAAAAGGGUAAUUUUCGCCUCCCACGCGAACGUACCCUUUUGUCCUGGUUGUAAAUUGCAACCGGGACUAAAGGGGGGGCCUUUUGUCCGGUUGCAAUUGGCACCCAGGACAAAAGGACCCUUUAGUCCAGGUUGCAAUUUGCAACCGGGAUAAAAAGGGUCGUAAAAGUAACAUUCAUCUUCUCCCCCCUCCACCCUUCAACACUUAGCGAAAUUUUCACCACUCUCCAAGAUCUACCGCGCCCGUCCGCCUCUGAUGCCGCCAGUCUCUCAUCCCCGCCCGUCCGCCUCCAUCGCCGGCCGCCGUGCUACUCAUCACCCGCCUCCAUCCCACCGUCGCCCAGCGCCUCGGCCGCUGUCGCCUGCGCCACGACUGCCGCCUCCUCCAUCGCCCGACCCGCCACCGCCUCCUCCGUCGCACCCUCUCGUCGCCGCCGCCUCCGGUGCGCCCCCUCAUUGUCACCUCCCUCUGCGCCGCCUCUGUGGUGAAACCGCCCAACUUAAGCUGGUUUAAGUGCACCUAAUCGCUGUCGGGACAACAAUUAUUCGAAACACACCUAAAACAGCAUAAGUCCAGUAGUCCGUCGAGUGUCCCUAGGACUCCUCGAAAGAUCCACGACGUGUCUCAUAGCCAUACACCAGGAUCGCUUCCUCGAUGGGAAGGCAUCAACAAACAUUACAUUUUUACAUACAUACCGGGGUACGAAUUAUUACAUACCAUAGUUUGAAACAAACUUCAUAGUGCAGGUUAGCGCGGUUCUAAGAGUUCAAAACAUGAACCAGUCUAGGUGAAAGAUAAACAUUUAAGUUUUAUUUCUAGGGUAUUUCGAGACUCGUAAAAUACCCUAGUUCUUCGGAGCUUCUUCCUCAGCGGACUCCUGUUGUGGCUCUGAAAUAGCAACGAGGGAUAACCCUGAGUAUAGGGUACUCAGCAAGACUAACCCGACUAACCAAUAUAAUAGCUUUUCUGGAAUUGCAUGAAAGCCUUUCAGUGUACUGGCUGACUCAUAGUUUUGCCAAAAGAGCUUACUAAAGUGAAACCUUAACUUUGUCUUUUACUUCAAUUGAGUUAUUACCUAUCCAAUCUAGAUAAUGAAAAAGAAAUACUUUUGCAAACAGUAGGAAAUUAAGUCAUACAACAAAUUAAUUGGAAAGACAUUGCAUUCAUGAGAUUACACUACGAUGCUUAACAGCGAUCUAGUGCAUUCAUAACCGAGAAUUGUGGCGAUCCGGAUCAAUUACAUCCUGUAGGAGAGCACCCUGAUCACCAGCUAUGUACAACUGUCCGGGUCGUACAUAACGACCUUUCGAUUAGCAUACCCAAAGAUUGGGAAUAAGACUACCCGAACCCAGGGAUGCACCCCCACAUGGGACCCCCUGUCUGGCCCGAUCUCCAUGUGAGUUUUUAGGCUAUGCCCCUGCCAAUCUCCAGCACGUCAAGCACGGGUACGAAAUAUUCCGGAUCAGAGAGUUUACUAAACUACCGGGCUUUACUGGUCCCAUACCCAGUAAGCAACCAGGUGACAUUCACUUGAUCAAAGGUUAAGACAACGAUCGGGCCUUAACCAAAUUAAUCUAGCAGACAGAACUAACAUCUCUAGCUUCUAUCGGAUUUCCAAAUUUCCAAGCUAACUUUCCAUAUCUAGCAUGUAUGACCCAACAAUUUACCUUAAGGUUCGGUAACCAAGUUACUUUCAGUAUCUAAGCAUUGCUAAAGCAUGGGUUAAUUACUAAUUAUUGAACAAGUGGCAAAGAUGUCCUUAAAACAAGGCAGGAUCAUGCACAAGAAUAGGUUUCAAUCAACUCCUAGACUUAAUGCAUUGAUAAAAGAAAUAACCAAUAAUUGAACACAUGAAAUAAUAACUCCAAAACAGAUAGGUAUAGAUGCACCGGGGUUUGCCUGGGAUCAACAAAUGUUAGUUCUUCGGAAAACCCCUUUAGUAAAAGAGGCACUUCAACAUUUCUCGGACUCUGUCAAUCUUCAGAUGAAUUCCACGAAUUCCACUUCAGAAGCUUCGAUGUCUAUGAUUUAGUACAUGCAGGAGUUAGAGACGCAAACUUUUGAAUACAUGACUAUACAACUUUCCUUCAUGAUAAAGUUGCAAGCCAACAAGUGACUAUACAACCUAUCUUCACAAUAAAGUUGCAAGCCAACACUAAUCUACCCAUAACAUCUAACCCACGAUUUUUUAAUCUCUUAACUAACCUGCCUUAAGCCCUUUCUUUUAUUUUAGAAAAGCAUUACAAAUAUUUUCUAAUCUCAAAAGUUAUUUCCUAUGAUUUAAUAAUAAUUUGUGAAUAAGAAAACAUUAUUCAAUAUUUUAUGCAUUUAAUAAAGGUUAAGCAUUUAUUUAAAUACCUUAAUGAAAAGGCAUUAAAUAAAUACCUAAAUUUUAUUAUUUUUCCUAGGGUAUAAAAAUUUGAAUGCAUAAAGGAAAAUAAAAUAAUCCUAACAAAAUUGGUCUCACUAAUUUUGGACACUCCUAGAAAUUUCUGUGAUUUAAACGGUGUAAACCGAAUUUUAAUGUUCUUUAUCUAUAAAAGGAAAACCUAAUGUUUAUCCAAAUAACCCCGGCCUAACCUUUCUCACUCGUACUAGGCCCGUUAAGCUGGCCCACCUACUCCCGGUCUCUACCUUAUUCUACUCGCCGGCCCAACGAGCGCCCAAACUCUAACGAGCCUCCUUACGACCGGCCUGCUCUCCGCACAGGCCAACAGCCCAACUUCCUCCUCCCUACCCAUGCCUGACGCAAGGGCCUUUUUUUUUUGGGGCCAGCCCACCCCGUUUCUUUCCCCCUUCACUUCCACCUGGGCCUCCAACCGACAAGCCCCUCUCCUCCUCUCAACUCCCCUGGCGCAUAGGCCAGAACAGGGGCGCGACAGGCAGGGGGCGGGGCUCGCCGACGGUGCCUCCCCGGCGGCGUGGCCGGGCUGGGGGCAUCCUGAAACCGGGGCGCACCCACGGGCGGUGGCGGCCCUCCAGGAGGCGGCCUGUGCCGAGCCCUCCACGGUGGCGGCGGCAAAGGCCGGCUGCCGGCCGGCGCAAAGCCCGACGGUGGCGCAAAAACGGCCUUCGGUGCCCCCCCCUAUGGACCCUAUUCGACUCAGCAAGCUCUGCAACCCAAGGAAUCGAGCAAAAGGGGCAUCACAGAGAGGCUCACCAAAGAACUAUGGUGGCGGCUGGCGGAUUAAAAUGGUGGCGAUUCGGAGCUUUGACGAUGAGGAAACAGAAAUCGGAGGGGCGUGGGCGUUGCGGUGGGGCUAGCGAAGCGUCUGGCGGGCGGAUUCGCGAAGAGAAGUGACGGAGCGAGGGUGUUGGCCAGCGGCGGCGUUGCUUUCCCGAGCUUUGGCUCGCAUGGCAGUAGAAAUGGCAAAGGGUUAAAUGGGAUGAGGGUGAGGUGGUAAAGAUACAUAACUUUUACCGUGCAUGUGUGCCACCUCGAUGACCUGCAGGCCUGCGUGGGCGCGGACGUGGUUGUUGCGCUGGUCGACGAGCAGAGGUGCCGGCGGCGGCACGGCUCUGUCCCCUAUUUCUUCUUUCUCUUCUUCGAAAUUCAGACCUCCACAUCGACCAAUUUCAAAUCCAAUCUCUCGAAGAUCCCUUCAGCAGUCUUGUAGAGUAAUCCAUGUACUUCAAUUGAUAGAUUGGCCGCUACCUGAAAUGAGCACCCUAACACCGAGAUUUUGAAGCUCAAAGUUUGACCAGAACCUUCUGUAACUGAACCUCGGUCAUUCAGUCUCGUCAAGGUCCAAAAUAGCAACUUCUUCCCUACUUUGAGCUCAAUUUAAAUUGCUUAAACUCCUUCCAUACAGCUUGAACCUUGCCUAUCCUUGUUCUACUACUGUUGGUGCUAGAAAUCGGCUGAUCGAAUUCCCAGCGUCGGACACACGACCCGGGAGAAUCUGCUUAGCUCCUGUUCGAGUGAUCACCCUGGUGCGGUUCGUGCAGCGUGCCAGCCAAUCUGACCUGUUGAUUGGCAAGGAAAGAAACGUGUCAGAUCCCAGAGGUUGCGAUCGGCUAAGGUUCCGAUCUCGAGAUAGCUUAUCAGUGAAUCGGCCGAUUUGCUGUAAUAAGGAAAUCGGCUAUAAUGCAGCCGAUUACCGGGCAGCGUUAAUAAAGAAGACUGCUGGAGUAAUCUAAACAAUGCUUAUAGUAACAACACUAGGAAUAGAUCUAAAUCGGCUAUGCGUAAAAUAAUAGAUUGAAUAACAAGGCACAGGAAAGCCGAAAGUUCCAAUUCCUAGCUGGAUAACUGGUGAUAAAACUAGAACUACAGGUAAAACCUAGAAUUCUAGUGGAUAUCGAUAACUGGUGAAUAAAUCUAAAUGAAACGACAGCGAUGCGCCCGAAGUUAAAGCUUAGAUAUUACUCGGUAAACGAAACUUACAGAAUCAGCCGGAGGUCAAGUUGAUGCAGCCUAGCCAACUCGUAUGAACUCGUGAAAAAGAAGAAAAGUAUUGGCGAAAUCGCCUGCUUGAAAGUAAGUGUGAGGAAAUAGUAGUUUGUUGUAUUGAUUUGAUGAUGAUUACAGAUCUACAAGGGUGGCUAUUUAUAGCCUGUUACAAAUGACUUCUUAACCGACUAGAACUCUAUCUCUAAUUUUAAACAAAAAAUGAAUAUUUACAAGUACGACUCGUACUGGGUCAAUCAUCAUGCUGUCAUGGGCUGACUCCCUUUUUACCUUCAUAAUCCACUUCAAGCCCACACCGGCCCAAUUCCUCCAGCCUCCUAAUCGGCCGAUUUCUACCAACUCCAUCGGCAAGGGACAGCCGAUUACGGCCCACAUGUCGGGGGUUCUGACUACUCCGACCCUGGGACCUAAGGUCGGGCGAGGUGGAGUCCCUCCCUUAGAGGGUCGGGCGCAUCCGACCCCAGGACUCAGGGGUCGGGCGAGGCGGAGUUGCACCCUUAAAGGGCAAUUGGCCAAUCCUUGACUGUAGCACCAAUCGGCCGAUUUCCAACCGUGACCUCUGUGUCUUGCCGCAUCUCCUGAGUUCUUCCUUUCCUGACGCCGAUUUCAUACGUGUCAAAAUAUGGCGUCAACAACUACUAACAAAGAUUCCAUUUUGCGCAUGAACUCAUAUACCUUUUACAUUGGAUUUUUCUUAAAUUUGCUCCAAACAUUGCUAAUCAAUGCCGUUUUUCAGACAACAUUAUUUCGGCAAGAAGCCUGAAAUCUGUGCAUUUGCUGAAUUUUGGGCUUCGCUUUAAAUUCGAACCUUCCACUUUCUCUGGCCAACAACAUUUCAUUUACCUUCUCUAUAGUCCAUAUUUCACUAAUGUCCAAAAACAUCUGCUCACUUACAAGAACAAUUCUCCAGAAAUUGGCUCCAAAGUUGUGUACUCAAUAUUAAUUUCAGAGUUACGCGUUUUCGGAUGACUAAGUGACUUUGUUGAUUCCAUAUUCGAUUGUAUUUAUGAGAGCUUUAUAACUUGAUUUAGACUUCAGAUUCAUUCCUUUGAGUUCUGAAUACUCUCAAGACUCUAUUUCCUAUUUUUGCCAAAUUUAUCCAAAUUUGAAACUCCAAAUUGCAAAUUUGGUUGAACUCGGCUCAAAUUCGAUUUUGGCUCAAAUUACCUUCCUUUAAUCCAACUUCACCAUUAGCUUCUUAAUGUGAUACUUAAGUUGUCAUUAACACUGGGUGUUACAGCCUCCUUGUCGCCCACCUCCGUCCCCGCCGCCUCCGUGCCCGCCAUCGCCCGCCGCUCUAGCCGCCGUUGCCUGCCGCCCUGGCCUACCGCCACCUCCUCCGUCGCGCCCCCUCAUUGCCACCUCCCUCUGCGCUGCCUCCUCAUCGCCGCCUCUCCAUCGCCACCUCCGUCGUCUGUGCCAGCUCCGACCCCGCUGCCACCGGCAUGCGCCGCCCCGACCUCCUCGUCUUCUGCAUUGCCACUCCAUCGCCCCGUCCGCCGUAGCUCGCCGCCAAGCCUCUGCCACCUGCCACCCCGGUGACGUGCGGCGCCACCCCCAUCGCGACCCCCGGCCCUCUCCACACGUACAAUGGGGCCCUUGCUGACGCUAGGGCCCUUUUUUAUUUUUUUAGUUAGAAAAUCAGUAUGAUUAGUACAAAAUCAGUAGGAAAUUACUAUUAUUAGAUGAAAAUCAGUAGGAAAUUACAAUAAUUUAGUUCAGAUGCUUAGUAUAAUUUUGUAUACAUUUUGUAUAACUUUGAGAAAUUACUACCUUUUAUUAUAAAUGAUUCGAAAAUUAGUAGAAAUUUGUAGCAAUGCUUAAGAUUUAUUCAGGAUAAGUUCUUAGUAUGAUUUUGUACACAUUUAGUAUAAUUUUUAGUACAUUAAUAUUAUUUAGUACAAAUGCUUCAAAAAUUAGUAAAAAUUAGUAGAAAUUUGGUAGAAAUUCUUAGAAAUCAGUAGAAGUUUGUAGAAAUUUGGUAGACAUUCUUAGAAAUCAUUAGAAAUUUGUAGAUACACUUCAAAUUUGGUACAAAUUCUUAGAAAUUAGUAGAAAUUUGAAGAAACACUUCAAAUUUGGUAGAAUUGCUUAAAAUUAGUAGGAAUUAGUAGAAAUUUGGUAGAAAUUCUUAGAAAUUAGUAGAAACACUUCAUGUAGGAUUCGUUCAAGACAUUUCAUGUAAGUUUCAUUCAAGACUUUCAUGUAACUUUCUUGUAAGUUUUCAUGUAAGUUUCAUUAAAGACAUUUCAUGUAUGUUUCAUUCAAGAUAUUCAUGUAAAUUUCUUGUAGGUUUUCAUGUAAGUUUCAUUAAAGACAUUUUAUGUAAGUUUCAUUCAAGACAUUCAUGUAAAUUUCUUGUAAGUUUCAUGUAAGUUUCAUUUCGUGUAUGGUUUCAUGUGUAGAUUUCAAUCAGUUUGUUUUUUUUUCAUGGUUGUUCUAUGAUUUCAUGUAUAUACCUUAACGUACAUGUAACUAUGAUUUCAUGUGUGUUUAACGUAGUUGAGAUGGCAGACGACAAGACCGCAAGCUAUCUAAUGGAGCAGAUUAUUGCUGAUGGUAGUGGCUCCAACCUUCCCGUAACGUACAUCGAUAAAGAGGGUACCUAGGCGAACAUGUUCCUCAACAUGUCUAGCGAUGGCAAUGAAGAGCCUCAGCCCUAGCAAAACCUUAUCGUGAUGGAAGGUUCCAGCGAGGUAUAUAUCAUUUCCAUUGUUUUACCCCAUCUAUAAUGUCUUAUUCAUUAUUAUUAUAUACUAAUUAACGAAUCUUGAACUGUUAGCCCUCUGGAUCGAUGAACCGUCAUAAGCCCCGAGGCCGUACAAAGGUGAUGGAUGGAGGGCUUAUCAUCAUGGAAGUCACAGAAGAGGGCAAGCCGGUUGCUCCCGAAAACAUGGCAAAAAAGUACGUGAGCCAGAUCGAGGCAAUCGUAAGGGACAACGUGCCCAUCAACAUCAUGGAAUGGAGGGGUGAAAGUACUAAUGCAUACGCGCUCUCGGAUACAGAAAAGGAAAUGUUGUGGUUAGAUGUUAAGAAACAUUUCACAUUUUCCCGAAGGAUGUAAUGAAGAUUAUGUGAAAUCGUGGAUGCUGAAGAAGAUGGCCACACAAGAAGGGCUGAUGUCCACAAUUCAAUGAGUGGUGAGGGACCACUGGGAGUCAUUUGUUGAAUACAAGACGAGCGAAACGGUGCGAACAAGGUUCGCACCAACUUUGUAAAUGCUGGCAAGAAGGAGUACCAUCAUUGUCUAGGGCGAGGUGGUUACAACACUACAAUUUCUAGAUGGCGCAAGAUGGAACAAGACCUGAUUGAUUGGGGUAUCCUACCAGCAACUCUUGAAUAUCCUGAUCGAUCGAAAAAUUGGUAUUACGCUCAUGGAGGCAACAUGAGCCAAGAGGAUGGGACACUGAUCUUCAAUGAGACAAUAUGUCAGAAGGCCAAAAGGCUUAUCAAGAACAUUGAAGAUGACACGGCUGGGAGUUGAAGGUGGACCGAGAGAAUAAUGAGCUAACAUUGGCCCAAGAAUCCCGAGCACCUAGGAUAUUGCCGAGGGUACGGGGUCAUUCUGUGGAAGUUCGCUUUUCGAGGCGACAUGUACUCAUACAGAAGCCGCAAGCGAAGAAAGGAAUAGCAAGAGGAGAGCUGGCGGCGCAUGUUAGAAUCCAAAGUGCAUUCACAUGAAGUAAGAAUGCAGGAGGAAAUCAAUCAUCGAGUGGCCCUAGCAGUUGCGAAGUUGGCCCAAUCUAGAGCACUACCGGAUCCAAACGUUAGAUGAGCAACGGUUCUUUGUGGCUGUGAUCACGCAACGCACCUCAUGUGAAUGGCAUAAACUGGUCGGCAACGUCACCAUUAAGGUAUACUUAUACAUAAUAAUUAUGCAAUCUUCUCAAUCCAUCCACGCCUCGGGAGUUUAAUAACUUCUUUAUUUCUACUAUAUGUACAAGUGGCAUACGAGAGUGCCUUACCAAUCCUGCCAGGGUAGACAAGCGAUGCCAUGGAGGUUCUACCUGGCUACGCUAGCGUCAGCCUAGAGCUGCUCGUUGAUAGCCAAUAUGAAGGCCUAGAGCUCGACCUCCCGGGAGGCGAUAGGGAAAGGACACUAGGAGAUGCGCUUCACGGGAUCAUUCUAUGGUGCAAAUGUUACAUCAUCAUCCCCGGCAUGGAGGCAUCAUUGCUCCCCGUAGAUCCCCAGCAGCGACCAUCUCCUCAAAGCUCAAGAUCGUCAUCUCCAACACGGCCUUCUCCAGGACCGUCAUCUCCACCACAACUUGCUCCAGAACCAUCAUCUCCAGCACAACCAGCUCCAGGACUGUCGUCACCACCGGGACCGUCUCUUCCUGCUCGAUCACGGUCUCCAUCUCCAGCACAUCCUAGUGGUGCGAGCGACGAUGACAAUAACACCCCUUCCCAAUCACCAUCUCCAGGACUAAGAGCUGCAUCGAGCAAGGAACCUGUAGCAACACUUAAGAAGUCGCAACCACCGCCUCCCAAGCCAAGACAGAGAAAGAAGAAAACAAACGAGCCUGAAUUGACUCCUGACAAAUGUAGGGAGGAGAAAAUGCAUGAGGAUUGCUGGCCCAAACCAAAGCAGAAUGCAGGGAGCGGUUCAAGAAAAUGGCCGAAGAAAGAAAAGCAAAGGCGAUGGAGCCACCGCCAGUAGAUUGAAGACAAUUAAAUUUUUUUAUAAAGAUGUCAGAAGAAGCCAAGAAGAUGCUGCCACCUUAAACUACGAUCGGGUGUUAGUCAAGGCUGAUGAGAGGAAAAAAUGGAAAGGAAAGUCGUCUUCAAGGGGUACUAUCCUCCACCUUAGACAUCUACCGAAAAAGACUCUCAAAAGAAAGCAUCAAUGCUAGCAAUGCCCUUGGAUCAAUAAGACCAAGUAGUGAAAUUCAUACAAGAAACAGGAAUGUCCUUUUCUGAAUGUCUAGGGCAAAGUGAGCCACCAGCUGCAUAGCCAGUUGAACCGAAAUGGACCUUUUGAGCUAGGCAAGUCUCUGGUAAGGCCUGAGUUGAUAUGGAAACUAUCAACAAAGAUGUACAAAUUCCAUGAAUGGUACAUCAAGCAGUCCAUCGUUGACAGGGAAAUAUUCGACCUUAAGGUCAAACCAAUAGCCUGGUUGACGUCUCUCUCAUCAGCGCUUGGGCUCUGCAAGUGUUCGUUUAUCUAUGUGUAAAUUUUGGCUCAUAUCAUUAUUUUUUGUGCAUGCAUCGCCCUGCUAACUUCGUCUUCCAUUUUAUGUAGGAUGCUAAUUCAGAUGUGCUGACGAGAAGUGUACUUCCAUGUUGGCUUCAUGGAUCCAUCCCUAGUUAACCAACACAAGAUAUGGGAUUUUCCAGAGAAAACGUUGAUGGAAGUAUACAAUUUCCUGGACAAACAAAAUUACAGCAAGGAAUACAUCCUACUUCUAUACAACUUCAAGUAAGUGUGUGUAUACCAUCUAUUUUUAUUUUCUUUUUCCUUACCUGAUUAAUGUUAGUUAGCUCUAAUAUGAACAAUUACGUACGCAGUUUCCACUGGAUCCUCCUAAUAAUUGAGCCUGAUAGAAGCCACAUCACUGUCUUCGAUUCAUUGAGGAAACCACCGAAGGAGUACCAAGAUGUUCAAGACAUGCUAAACUUAAUAAUUCUGGACUUUAUCUCUGUGCAAAAGUUUGUUUCCUAAAUUUUCACCUAACACUGUAUCAUUCAUUAACACAAAGGUCCAUUCAAAGAAAAACUUACAUGGAACACAAACUUCCUGGCAUGUAUGAAGUUUGCAUAUUUUGUACAUUAUAUAGCAUGAAUAUUUCAUAACUUGUUUUUCCCCACUGUAGUGCUUAAGACAGGAACUCAAAAAUAAUCUAUGUGGCUACUAUGUCUGUGAGCACAUGCAUAGUUUUUUGGGACACAAGGUACUAAAGAUGACGCCGCACAACUAUAACGUACGUAAAAGAAAACUAUUAAUAGUUAAAUAUUUUCUAGCUCCUUAUAUUUAAUUGUUCGUGUAACAUUCACAUAUUUCCAGAUUACAGAUGCAUAAUAUUCAACAAAAACUCUUGGAGAAGGAAAGAAUAAUGGCAAUAUAUGAAGGUCUCAUGGGAUUCCUGGUGGACGAGGGGGUACAUCAACAAGGAGAAUUUUAUUACAAUGGACGAAAAUUAGACGCACUGAGCAACACCACGACGGGAAGAUCCAAGGAAUGACUGAGGCAAAUUUUUGUAUAUAUAUAUAUACUAAUUGUAUAAAUACUAUGCUAAGAUUUGUAUAGUAUGCUAAGAAUUGUAUAUAUACUAAGAAUUGUAUAUAUAGUAAUUGUAUAAAUACUAGUUUGAUUUCAUAAUAAAAAAAGUCUUAACUAAACUAAAGGGUACGUGAUGCAUGAAAUUACAGGUGCCUGCCUGCAUGGCGCCUGUAAUUUCAUGCAUGCACUUUAGUCCCGGUAGAAAAAACCAACCGGGACUAAAGGGAGCACCCUUUACUCCCGGUUGGUAAAACCAAUGAGGACUAAAGGGGCCUGUCCCGCGCCUGGCGUGGCAGCCCCUUUAGUCCUGGUUGGUUUUACCAACCAGGAUUAAAGGGUGUCUUUAGUCCCAGUUGAGUGACCCGAGACUAAAGACCCCCCAUUCGUCUUGAUUGCUUUAUCCCGGAUGGAUUUUCGGGAAAUUUUAUCCCUACCAACCAGGACUAAAGGUGAGUUUUCUACCGGUGCCUGUUCUAUCUCACUCAUUUGUCCUGUAGCUACAAGCUAAGGCCCCAUGUCAUCUAUGGCUUCUGUCCUGUAGCUACUAGCUAAGCCCCCGUAUCAUCCAUGGCUUCUGGUGCCUCCACCACACUGAAGAUGGCCUCUAUCGCCCCUUGCAUCCUGCUGGUCCUGCUGUCCAAUGGCCACCCUACGAUGGUGGCCGUUGAUUGUGUUGCGGUUUGCAAAGACCCGUGCCAGAGCUUUUCUAACGGGUUCUGCGCGGGUGGAGCCACUGGCGGUUGCACAACUACGGCAGCAGCUACAGCAUGCCGCAAUUUGGCGUUCUCGCAGUGUGCGAACAACUGCUUCAUAGUUUGCACUGCCGAGAUCAUCACGCCUUGCACUUGAAGAUGCAUUUGUGUUCCUACUUCCAUGUUAUUGUUACUGCAGAAUAAUAUGGAUAAAUACGUGCAAGCAGGCCUGCCGUCCGCGGGAGGAGGUACGCAAGCACGCAUGAUGAGCCACUGUUGUUUUUCCAUUUUAUCAUUUACUUAUUGAAGGCAAUGUACGUGCCUAUCUCCUGUGUGGUUGAGCAUGUCAUGUUGGAAUUCUGUCCAAAGUUUUACAUACCAUCUUGUAUUGUUGUGUAUGCGUAUCAAUAUAAUUUAUGAACUAUUUU